rnacentral:lncRNA from 1 species
GGCUACCUCUGAAUAAUGAUUUCUCCUCCCUCCUCCAGGGGCCAGGGGGUCUGGUUUUAUAGUCCCCUCAAGUGAACGUGAGCCAUUGGAUCAAACCGACAUAGAUUGUAUGGUUUAGAUUGAUCCUUUAGGUCGGUGGAGUCUUGCCCCGAAGCAGAGUCCUGGUUGGAAUCCAACCCUGGGCGGGCGCCCAAGGGGGGUGAGCGGGCGCCCUACCCCCGAGCCCGAAUCGCUUUCCGUUCGUUCCCGUGGCUUCUGGAUCCUUCUAGAUUGAGGAAAAUUACGCGGCACGUAAUUAUCUCGUUGUAAACAUGACAUGUGGGUCUUCUCUCCAUAUUUUCUGAUAAACCCCUGCAGAAAUAGAUAAACACCAAAACUCGUGGAAUUCUGUCAGAUAAAACCCUAAUUCUAGAUGUUUGUUUCAUAUUGAUCCUUUUUCAUGUUUAUUUGAUUAUUAAUUUUAGUACUUAAGGACCGUCAACAAACUCCCCCAAGCUUACCCUUUGCUCGUCCCUGAGCAAACAGCUAAACUCAGAUGGAUCAGGAGUUGCUUCGAUGUUUUCUUUUCUGACAGACACACAUGCUUUUACAUAAAAAUUCUUCCAGAUUAAAGUGAAGUGUUAUGAAGUUUAGUACCUGCACUUAAAUCUUAAGUAAUCGAAAGACAAAAUAGUUAAGUCAAGCACUAUCCCUCUUGUCUAUACUUCACCUUUGUUCUAGAGUUUUUUCAUAAGUUUUCAAAAUAAAACUCAGAGUUCCCAGCAAUGAUUCUCUCAAGUCUCUCUAUAUGUGGUAUUUGUGGAUCCUUACCAUGAUAUCACUUACCUAUAGCUAAUGGAAUAUUUAAGUGGAGCUCAUAGGAGUGAAAAAACAGCUCAUACAUAUGUUGUCUAAUCGAGUCAUGGAUCCAAAGGAACUUAGCAUAUAAUUAAAUCAAGAUGUGCAUGUGUGGUGGAGUAAAUGAUAGUGAUGAUGAAAAUGCAUAAGUGAUAAUAAAACUUAGUUCUCAUUGCUCCUUAUAUUGCUAUCUCUCCUCCUCUUUGAUCUUUGCUUUGGGAGAACAUGGGCUAUCUCUUUUUUUUUCAGGUGGGUAGUAGAUACCCCUAAUUCUACUGUCGGACACUUGUCCAUUUUUUCCGCUCAAGUGGGCAUCUUUGUACCCCUAAUUCUACUCCGGACACUUGUCCAUUUUUACCUCUCGUCUCACUCUUUUUCUUUCUUUUCCGAGGUUCCGGGCACUUGCCCCUUUUAUUUCCUCGUAUAUUUUUGCAUAACCCAUGCCUCUUCUGCAUUGAAUCUUUUUAGAGAGAGAGAGAAUAACAAUACUUGGGACAGUGAGUGAUAAUAUUUUUAGCAAUUUUAAUGAAUGGUGGUGGAUGCUGUGGUAGAUGUGUGCAAGUGAAUAUCUUAAUUUAACCACAUGAAAAGCUCCUAAGGGUCGACACAGCUCGAUCAAACUCAAUGUAAAUAUAGUAAAAGAUGUUAUAGCAAGUAUGGCUGUGGUAGGUAGUUUGUUAUGCUAGGAACUCAUCAUGUGAUUUGUAAGUCUUCAAAAUAAAUCUCUAGAACUUGGUGUAGUAGGAACAAGAUAAACAGUAGCUCAACUUUAUAUCAUGCCUUUCUCUUACCUAGACUUUAGUUUUAUGCUUCCCAAAGAUAGUAAUUUUAGUUUUAGUAAUUCCUGGAAGAACUCUAAUAUAAAAGCUAGGUACUUGUAGGUAAGCAAACAGAGCAACUGUUCAUCAUUUCCAUCAUGUAUCUUUUUGGUCUUUUUGUUUUUUCUAGAGAUUUGUACUUAACAGAUAAAAUAAAGCACACUUAUCUACAUACUCUUUUUAUUUUGUUUUUAUGUUUAUAAAAUGCAGUAAAUUAAAGCAAGAAAUUAUUUAUUUGGUUUUCUAAGUUUUUUUCCUUUUAAGAUAAAUUAAAUACUAAGACAGAAUAGAAUAAAUAGGAAGAGUAAAUAAAAACUUACUUGAUAAAUUGGGGAGGAACUCCCCCAAGCUGGAUGUUGACGUCGGUCUUACCCGAUAUUCCAGAACCGCAUCAUGGUUGUGAUGUUGUCGUUCAUUGUUGUUGUAUCUUGUCUCAGCUCUUCUACUGCAGCGGCAUGGUCCUGGUUCUAUUUUUGUUGCUCUUCCAGGAGUCUUCCAUGUUCUGCUUGCGUGUUCUGGAUGUCGAGGAGGGUGUUGUCGGUACGAGUGAAGAAAGCACCGGCCUCUUGAUAGUAGUUAUUCGUGAAAGCGUAGGAGGCGUCGGAGUAUCAUCCUGCAUCAAAUUGGGGCGGAGGUCUGGAUCCUGAAGCUCCAUAUGGAUCAGUGGAAUACCUGCCCGUAUGAAAAGGCGGGUUUGUCCACUGGUGAUCUUGGCUCUCCGGCCAUGUCUCUUCUGUUGGCUCUUGUGGUUGCGCAUGACGAGCCCAUGGGUCUCGAAGGACUCGAGGGUUGUAAUCGCAAUAAUGCAGGUGUGCUGCUUCUUCUGGUCCGGGAUCAGCUCCAUACCAGGUGCGUUCUCGGUGAGUGGUUAUCCUUUCAGAUGCCACUCGCUGUGGAGUUCUCUGGUUCACUGGUGUUGCUGCAAUCUCAAUCAAAAAGUUUUGCACAGCGUAGAGGCCAAGGUUCGGGUUAGGUAACUGAAUCUUGCCUUUAUCAUCAUAUAGCAUAUACAUUAUAUUCCCCUCUUUCUUUAACAUCCGAGCUUGUCUAAAUGUGUUAUAGCCAUGAUAAAUUCUUAAUUCUUCUAUGAAGUCCAACGAUGAGUUUUCUAGUAAGUGAAGAUUAGUGGCUAGACGAGUGAUAAGUGAAGUACAUCCUACUGGUCCCUGCAGACUAGGUAUACUAAGCCAAUGUGAAACUAAUAGUGUAACAGGUGAAGUGGGUACUUUACUAAUAGCAGCAUAUAAAAGUUGUAAAUCUCCUACUCUUACUUUCCUAAUAUCGUCACGAUAGAAAAGAUUGUACCCAAGCCAUUUGUGAAACAUCCUAAGAGUGGGGUGUUCCAUGUCACUGGUUCGGGCUUGACUGUAAAAAUUAUCUCUAGAUAUUUCUCUCCAAAACUGGUGUCUCUCAAAAUUGGGUAAAUCGGAGUCAAUGUUCAGGAUGCAUCUUGAAGAGAAACCAAGAUGGUCACUCAGCUCUCUCCAAGAUAACAUAAUUUCCUGUUUGAACAUCCGAAAAACAAUUCCCCCCUCAUAGUAUUGUAAAGUGCAAAGAAAUUCGAGGGUGAGAAGACAAGAACCCAGCUCAGUUAUAUUCCAAAAAUUUGUCCAACCCAUCAUCUGAAAAAUUAAGUCAAAUUCAGUGUCCAUACCUGUUUCUUGUAGUAGGAUUGGAUCGAGAGUAGGGGCAUGAAUAAAAUCUUUAUUCUUCAGUUGCUGAUAGACUUCCUUCUCUCUUCGGGUCUUCAGUCCAAGGUCUCCUAUCUUGAGAAGGACCUUAACUUGUUGUCCUGAUGAAGAUGAUGGAGCUUGUGUGGGUGUCGGGUCAACGCUCAUCUCUGAUGGCUGUGAGGAGUGUCGGGCUGAACUCCUUGUACCAAUGUUCUUGAGAGCCUUCCCUGCAUUCUUAACCUUCUUAAACAUCCUGCAAACAAAGGUUGGCAAAAAACACGACUGGUGGAAAAUGUGAGAUAAAAUGUUAGUGGUCAGCUGUCCGGAGUGUCAGUAAUCCAGGGGUUAAUCGUUCAAGACAAGUUUCUAUUUUGGUAGAGCCUCCCCCUAAACAACUUUUACUUCCGCUUAGAUAACGGGAUCACUACUUGCUAGGUGACAAUCACUCUCUAAAAAGAACUCCAACCUUCCCUUCCACUCUCCUCUUUCUCUCUACUCUCUUCUCCUCACUACAAGAACUCCUUCUCGGGAAACUGAAACUUGUGUGGUUUUCUGGAGCGUUUGUGUGAAGAGAAGGAGAGCUGGAGGUGGCCUUUUAUAGGAGGAAAAGGGGACAGGGCGGGCGCCCUUGGUAGGUGGGCGGGCGCCCACUUGUGAUGCCCAUCCUGGGUGUGCCUCCUCCACUUGCUUCCUUGCUUUGAUCUCACGCAGAAUAAUAUUGUGUUGGUGGUGGUUGGACGGUGGAAAGAUGUCAGGUGAGUGGAAACAUAUUGGUGGAUGAAAUUAUGUGAUGGGAUGUAUGUGAGGUGAAGUGUAUGACAUGUGGGACCCAAGGAGUGUGGGUCAUGCUUCUAGAAGAUCAAUAUAAAUAAAUAUAAUGCAUGAAAAAUCUAUGAGAAUUGAAACUUAAUUAAAAUGAUAAUGGGAAAUAUUUUUGUGCCUCCACAAUAAUUAAUAAAUAUGGGUUGUUACACACCACGAAUAUUAUUUAUAUGGGGCUUUUUGAUUAUUAUAAUUAUGCUAUGAAUAUAUAUGACUAAUGCAAGAAUUAAUUAUGUAAGAAUUUAAAUAUGAGAGAAUUAAUAAUGCGGAUAAAUACCGAUUUACCUCCCGGUGAGGGUUUGGGAUUUUCAGGUCCCUUAAGCUGGACCUCCAAAUCUUUUAAUCUUCUGAGUUACCUUCCUUCGAAGAUGGUGUCUCCAGUGGUUCUUCAUAAACUUCCUUCACUGUAGAGUCUCUCUGGUCUGGGUUUGAAUGUGAAGUGUUCUUCUUGACCGUUUAUGUUGAACUUGAUUUCUCCCUUCCCGACAUCAAUGUGGGCAUUGGCAGUGCUCAGAAAUGGCCUUCCAAGGAUGAUGGACACUUUCGAGUCAGGACUCAUGUCUAGUACUACGAAGUCUACUAGCACCAGGAAAUCUCUGAUCUUGACUGGAAUGUUCUCGGCGAUGCCCAACGGGUGUCGAAUCGAUUGAUCCGCUAGUUGUAGGCACAUUGAUGUUGGUUCUAAGGUUGCAUGCUCAAGCUUUUUGUAGACUGAUGCUGGCAUCACACUGACACUUGCUCCGAGAUCAUAAAGUGCCUUAUUGAAGUGUCGGUUUCCGAUCGAGCAAUCAAUAGUGGGGCAUCAUGGAUCUUCCUUCUUCUUUGGUGGUUUGUUGAGGAUGGCCGCACUACAUUCUUCUGUCAGCUUGAUAACCUCAGUGGUGGGCAGUGGUCUCUUCUUGUUAAGAAUAUCUCUGAUGUACUUUGCAUAUGUAGGUACCUGUAUGGCAUCGAGCAGAGGUAUGUUGACAUAUAAUUUCUGAAUGACCUCUACAAACUUACCAAACUGCUCAUCCGACUGCAGUCCUCUGUUUCUUCUGGGAAAUGGCAAAUAGUUGGUGUCGUAAAAAUCUUUCCUCAUUUCUCCAGUUCUUGGUGGUUGGAGCAGAUCUUCUGCUUCAACUGGGCUUUCUUCUUCUAUCACUGCUGGUUGCACUGGUUCUGAUGUUCUUUGUUUCUCUUUUGGGUAUGGUGGAUCUCUGGUGGCUUUACCUCCUCUAGUAGUUAUAUUCUUUACCUGCUCAAGGUUAGUAGCAACAGGCAGUGCAGCAGCUAACUUUAUUAAUUUAAGCUCUACCCUUUUAUUAAGAGCGUUUUGCUCAUCAAAGGCAGUUAGUAGAAAAUCCAUUUUAUUGUGUAUAUCUUUUAGAGAUGAUUCAUUUGUAUCUAGCCUUUGUUUAACUUCAUCAUUAAUUUUGGUUUGUUGAGCAAUUAUCUCUUUUAAUGAAAGUUGCUUGACAGUAUUACCUGAAUUCAUACCAUUGCUAUUGGGUUGACUCGAAGUUGGUUGAUAUUUGUAUGCUAUCUCAAUGGCCCUUUGAUCUUCUUUGAACUUGGCCCUCUGGUCAAUCCAAUGGAGCAAAUUUUCCAUCUUAGUUGAUAAUGCAUUUACUUCUUCUAGUAUUCCUUCAGUUUGAUGACAUUGUUGAGCUUUAUCUUGGAACCAGCUUUGAUUUUCUACUAUCUUAUCCAAAAGUAUCUCUGCUUUUCCAGUUGUAAGUUCCAAGAAUGAUCCUUUAGCAGAUGCAUCUAGGCACUCACGAGCCUUCUGGGUUAAUCUUUGGUAGAAGGUCUGCAUAAGUAACCAUGUGGCCAUUCCAUGGUGAGGACAAUCUGAUAUGUAUCCUUGAAAACGCUCCCAUGCUUCCGAAAUGGUUUCUGUCUUCUGCUGUUGAAAACUGACAAUAUUUCCUCUUAAGGCAGUUGUUUUGCCUAUAGGGAAAAACUUUGAUAGAAAGGCAUCUGACAAGUUCGUCCAGUUGUUGAUGUUAUCUUGAUGAGUGUAGAACCACUUCCUCGCUUUUCCUUCUAGUGAGAAUGGAAAAAGGCGAAGCAGUAUGACGUCUUUGUCAACUCCGUUGAUGUGGAUUGUGCUUCCAAUCUCUAAGAAAUUCUGCAAGUGUGCACUAGCAUAUUCAUGUGCCUUUCAACUGAAUUGUGUAGCUUGCACCAAAUUGAUGAGGCUUGACUUGAGCUCAAACUCAGGUAUUCCUUCUUCUACUGCAAAUCUUGGACCAGUUGGAAUGUUCUCAAGCCUUGGAGCAGAGAAUUCUUGCAAGGUCUUGUGUGCCAUAGCUUCAACAAUUGGUAGCUAGCUUCUUCUUCUCUUGAUUGCUUUGGUUCUGAUGAUGGAGAGUUGAAUGUACCCAAAGUCAAUCCUGUUAUACCCUGUCUAAAAAUAUAAACAUAGAAAAACAACAGGGUGAACCUGCCAAAGCAGAGGUGCCUUGUUAUGAUUUCUCACUUAGUAGCUGUUUUUAUGCAAUUAUUUCUCUAUAGUCUAGUCUAAUAUUUUAUAUGAAUAACCUUGACUGAUUUUCUGGCUUUCCUAAAUAUUACCCUUUUGUUCCCUUUUAUGACUUAUUCCUGAGACUCGUAUAAUUCCUAUAAAUCCCCGGCAACGGCGCCAGAAAUGCUUGUUGACACUAGCUAACACCACUUAGAUACUAGGUUGUCAUCCCUAGCAUGGCGCCAGAGUGUACAAAUGUAUUUAUAAAUGUAAAGGCUCUCUAGAAAAUAAUCUAUUCUAUCCGCAAGCGCAUAGAUAAAACACCUCAUUGUAGCAUUUCACCAGGAUAAGUAUUCCAGGUAUCGUUAUUUAUAAUUUUGCUCAAGGGAUCUAAGGAGAUGGAAUUAAAUCAAUGGGCAAAAUCUAUCAAGGCAUAGACUAGAGAUAAACUUGCAAGAACAUGAUUACUAAUGAGAAACUCGUCACACAGUCACUUACUUUAGCAGGGGGUAAACCAUAAAGAUAAUGAUAAUGAAUUAUAAGUUCAUGGGUAGAUAACACAGCGAUUAGAAAAUAGACUACUCCUCAUAUAUGUAGGUGAUGUCGGAUUAGCUAGAGAAUGGAUUCUAAGUUAUCUACUAACUACUAAGUCAUAAUCUACUCUAGUUAUCUACAAGAUCAUGUAUAGCAUAAAAGACUCUUCAUUCAUGUAUAAGGAACAUUGAUAAAGUAAAUCAGAACAUCGCAUGACUUACUCCACAAUACCGGUUCUGCCUGUCUUAUCAACGGAGGGUGGACUAUAUAAGAAUCAACGAAGCUGUCACUAUCGCGAACUACCACAUGACUCGGCCAAUAGGAUACAUUUGCAGAUAAAUAACAUCUAAGCACCACGCUCACAUGUGAUCUAUCACCUAACUCCCUCGCGUCAAGAGCUAAGCGCUUUGCAAACUUAUACAUAAACUCAUUAUCAAUUAGAACUAUAUCAAAUAUAGAACUAGAGCAAACUAAGAACAUAAUAAUUAGAGACAUAAUGCAAUUAGAACAAUAGAAUUAGAGAAAGAUAUGAAUAAUACCAAUCUUUAUUACCGAAGAUCCGAAUCCAGAGCGUAGUGCUCUACUUCUCUAAUUGCUAUCUAAUCAACCUCUAAACUUGAAGGAUUAGGGAGUAGCUAAUUCUAAUUCUCUGUAGGAGAGAAGCUCUAAACCCUAACUUUGAUUGCUACCUCUGAAUAAUGAUUUCUCCUCCCUCCUCCAGGGGCCAGGGGGUCUGGUUUUAUAGUCCCCUUAAGUGAACGUGAGCCAUUGGAUCAAACCAACAUAGAUUGUAUGGUUUAGAUUGAUCUUUUAGGUCGGUGGAGUCUUGCCCCGAAGCAGAGUCCUGGUUGGAAUCCAACCCUGGGCGGGCGCCCAAGGGGGGUGGGCGGGCGCCCUGCCCCCGAGCCCGAAUCGCUUCCCGUUCGUUCCCGUGGCUUCUGGAUCCUUCUAGAUUGAGGAAAAUUGCGCGGCACGUAAUUAUCUCGUUGUAAACAUGACAUGUGGGUCUUCUCUCUCCAUAUUUUCUGAUAAACCCCUGCAGAAAUAGAUAAACACCAAAACUCAUGGAAUUCUGUCAGAUAAAACCCUAAUUCUAGAUGUUUGUUUUAUAUUGAUCCUUUUUCAUGUUUAUUUGAUUAUUAAUUUUAGUACUUAAGGACCGUCAACAGUUGGAUCAAACCGACUUAACAAGCGGUCGAGAUAGCUCCUCAGAGGCGGUAGAGGAAGCUUUCGGAAGGGGGGGGGGGCAAACCCUAGCAGCAGGGGACCGGUCGACGCUAGGGUGGGGCCAGCCAGCCCCACCUGUGAAAGCUCUAGUUUGGUUUUGGAUAAUUGAUCAAACUCUAGUACUAACCUCUAUACUAAGUGUGUGUAGACUUAAUGAGGUUGGUACAUGCCAAGUGAUGGAGCAAGAGAUGAUCAUGGUGAUGAUGGUGAUGACCACAAGAUGAUAAAGUGCUCAACUUGGAGAAGAAGAAAGAGAAAAAUAAAACCCUAUGGAAAUCAAGGAAAUGGUAUUGCUUAGGGUUUUGGUUUUUGUGAUCAAGAUACCAUAGAGGGUGUGAUCACAUUUAGGAUAGAUAGCCGUAUUAUAAAGAGGGGAAUUCCUUGGCUAAGCGGUUAUCAAGUGCCACUAGGUGUCAUUGUUCAUGUGCAUGCAUUUAGAACCUAGUGAGCUAACUUAACUCCUUCGAAAAAAUGAUUGUGAAAAUGCUAACACACUUGCACAUCGUGGUGUACACUUUGUGGUGUUGGCAUACUUUGAGAAGGAGGUGGAGAUUGAAGGGUAGAGAGGGGUUGGGUUCCUCUCUCCCUUCCACCGAGCUUGCGAGGCGGGAUUCAGCGCUUUUGAGAAAAUGUAAUGCAUAUUUUUCUAUUGUGCCGGUGGGAAGUUUGGAGAAGUUACAGGAGUGUUUCUCGCUAAGAAACACUCACCGGACGCAGUGCACAGAGGCACCGAACGCGUCCGGUGCUAUGUCGGUGUCUGACUAGAGAGUGCAGAGCACACCAGACGCUCUGCACCAGACGCAGGAGAUCUAUUGUGCGCGCGUCCGGUGCUUGUUAGGGUCGGUGCGCUAGACUGCACAGUUUUCUGGCAGGGCACCGGACGCACCGGAGUGAGUCCGGUGCUCAGCGUCCGGUGUGUGAUCUCUUUGCAAACCUCCCUGCGUAUGAAACCGGACGCACUGGAGUGAGUCUGGUGCUCAGCGUCCGGUGUUCAAGCUUCUUUGCGGACCUCUCUACGCACGGGUCCGGCGAGUAUCGGAUGCGUCCGGUGCUCACUUGACCGCGUCCGGUGGUCUGCAGGUGACCGUUAAGAGAUCGACGUGUGAAGGUAAAAAGGGGACACGUGGCAGUUUUUUAGGGCACUAGACGUAGGGCUUGAGCGUCCAAUGUUUCCCUACAGCGCAUCCGCUGAUCUUGAUUUUAGCCCAGUGAAAGAGCCAACGACUCUAUUUAUUUGAGGGGCUUGUUGGGUAUUCUUAACAUCAUUACCAAAAGUAGACAGUUUUCUAAUUCUAAUAACGGUGCCAAAAAUGCCAAACCUAUCCCUCACACCACUUAAGCUAAGUUGUCAUCCCCAGCAUGACAUGAGAGACGCGGUAUUGAAAUAUGCAAUUGCUCUUCUAAAUAAAUAAUGAAUGGGAUCUGCAAGCGCACAGAUUAAUACCGAUGUAGCAUUUUAACCGGGAAGUAUUCCAGGUAUCGUUAUUUAUAUUUUUACCACUGGGAAGGGAUUAACAAUCAUCAAUAUUGAUUAUAGAAUAGAAUAUGAGAUUGAGUAUCUAUCAUUGCAUGUAUAAUUGAGAACAUUUAUCUAACUCUUUCAUACAGGGAUAAGUGUCACAUAAAAGAUAUAUAAAAUAAUGAAUAGUGACAAAGAUAAUUAAUCUGAUCAUAACUAGUCACAUAAUAAAUAUGAUAAGCACCUCAAUUAGAUACUCUAGAAUGUCAUUAGCAUGGAAUUAGAACGAACUACAAGAAUAUUCGCUAAGUUAUUCUCAACUAUAUAGUCUAGCAUUAUCAUAAUUAGUGCAAGCAUACUUAGCAAUCAUUACGAGACAAGACUACGCCCAUGCAUAGUGAUAUUAGCAAGGUAAAUGAGAAACAUAGCAAUCACUCCCCUGUAAUAAUAUUGCUCUGCCAGCCCAAUACACGAGAGGGGGACUAUAUAAGAAUCAAUAAAGCUGUCACUAUCACGAACUACCCCACGAUCUGGCAUAUUGGGUACAAUCGUAGAUAAAUACGGUAUAAGCACCACGCCUACACAAUAUCUAUCAUUUACCCAUGGAUCCGAUGGAUAAAUGCUAUACGAUCCUAAGCAUGUAUAUAGAUCCAAUCUAACUAAGCCAAGUAUAUAACCAUGAUAAACUAAGAACAAUAUAAUCUUGAAUAUAAACAAGUAGAGCAAAGUCAUAAGUAAUAUAUUGAAGUAGAACAAAGUCAUAUUCAUAAUAUUGAAGAACAAAGAUGAUUAGAAAGCAAUUAGAAGCACAAUUAGAGAAUUACCAAGAAUCCUCUUGACAGAUCCGGAAACCAAUCGAAGAUUGACUCCUUCUAGUUCUAAUCCUAUGUAGCUAUACUAAUCUAGAUAUCUAAUUGAUGUGGUGGCUCUAAUCUUGAUCAGAGGCUUCUUCUCCCUUGAAGAACAAUGAAUUAGGGUUGAGAGGCUCUCUCCUCCAGGGGCCAAGGGGUCUGGUUUUAUAGUCCCUUCAAGUGAAUAUGGGCCGUUGGAUCAAACCGACUUAGAUUGAACGGUUAUCCUUGAUCCUUUAGGUCGGUGGAGAUCUCCCGAGAAACAGAGUCCUGAUUGGCCUCCAAGUCAGGGCGGGUGCCUAGGGCAGGAGGGCGGGCGCCCUGCCUCUGGCCCCGUUCGGCCUCCGCUUCCUUCCCGUGGCUUCUGGAGUCUUCUAGAUGUAAGAUAAUUGCGCGGCAUGUUAAUAUCUCUAUGUAAUCCCGACGUGUGGGCCUUUCUUCCGUAUUUCCUGAUAACCCCCUGCAGAAAUAGACAAACAUAAAAACUCAUAGAAUUCUGUCAGAUAAAACCCUAAGUCUAGAUAUUGAUUUCAUUUGGAUCCUUUUCUUUGUUUAUUUGUUAAUUAAAUUUGAUACUUAAGGACCGUCAACAAACUCCCCCAAGCUUACCUCUUGCUCGUCCCUGAGCAAGGAUAGACUCAGCGAUGGAUCAGAAGUUGUUGCAAUAUUUUAAAAAUUGACGGUACACAUGCUUUUAAAUAAAAUCUCAUCUCUGAGUUAGAGUAAACUGUCAAGACUUAAAACUUACUUACUUAACCUUUCACCAUGGGACUUGUAACCGUCACUUCUGUCUUGAGUAGUUAAAAGAUAGAACAGUCUAGUCAAGUGCCAUGUCUCUUAUUCGUGAGAUUCCUUGUAUGAUUCUCUCAGAUCUCUCUUUUGUGGUAUUUCUGGAUCCUUACCAAGGCAGUGAUGGUAUAUGCCUUCUCUCAAAAUAUGUGGUAUUUGUGGUAUAUGUUGACGGUCCUUAAGUAUCAAAUUUAAUUAUCAAAUAAAUAAAGAAAAGGAUCCAAACGCAACCAACACCUAGAAUUAGGGUUUGAUCUGACAGAAUUCCACGAGUUUUGGUGUUUGUCUAUUUCUGCAGGGGGUUAUCAGGAAAUAAGGAAGAAAGGCCCACAUGUCGGGAUUACAUAGAGAUAUCAACGCACCGCGCAAUUUUCUACCAUCUAGAAGACUCCAGAAGCCACGGGAAGAAAGCAGAGGCCGAAAGGGGCCAGGCCCAGGGCGCCCGCCCUCCUUCCCUGGGCGCCCGCCCUGACCUGGACUCCGUUCGGGACUCUCUUCGCACACGAUGUUCCACCGACCUAAAGGAUCAAGGAUAACGUAGUACCACAUCGCCUACCGACCCAAAAAACGCAUAGAGGAGGAGGACUAUAUAAGGAGACCCCCUGGCCCCUGGAGAAGACAAGAAGUUAUCAUAGAGUUGAGGGGUGCCCUCGAAGGAAAACCUCUUCUCUAAAUAAUAUUUUUUUAGGCUUAGCAACCAAUGUGAGUAGAAAUAGAUCUUCUAGUUUCUACUAGAUUGAGAGAGAUAGAGUGGAGGUGUAGAUCGGAGGAAGGCCGGCCUGUCGGUGUCUACUCCGAGUUGUACCUACGGGGUCAAGUCUCCUAACCCGAGGCUUGCUUCUAAGAUUCUUCAGUAAUUCGACUUCUAAUUCUAGUAAGUUCUUGUUUUAUUGUUCUUUGGUUUAUGAGUUUACUUUAAUCCUCUUCCGGUUGAGUAUUAGAGUAAUCAUUGCUAGCAUGAACGUGGUGUUUAGGCUAGGGUACUCAUAGAUAUCCCCUGACUAGCUGGACCGUGCUAGUAGCGAGGAACGUGACAUUUCCGAGUUACCUUUGUAUCCCAUAUCUUGUUAGCAGGACGGGUAGGUUUAUAGGUGCGGGUCGAACAUCCUUUGUGGUGUCUAGAUUCCGUAUGCCUCCCUAAUAGAACAGAAGAUCAUCCUUACUAAGGUUAGAACGAGACUACGGUUGCAGUCUUCUCUAUACAUCACUCACAUCGAGAAACAUUCUUUGUAGCCUAAAGGGAUAGUAGCAAUAGAUUUGGUUAGUCAGAUGCACCCUUUCUCCGAGUGGUAAAAAUAUAAAUACGAUAACUCUGGAUAACCUCUCGGGUGAAAUGCCCACCGAUAUCCGUGCGCUUGCGGAUCAUUUCCUUAUUGCGUUACCAAAUAUCAACAAGCAUUUCUGGCGCCGUUGCCGGGGAGAAAGACGGUUUGCUGAGAUAACUUUGAGUCUUGCUAUUAUCUUGUUUUAUACUUUUAUUCUUUUUAUUUUUAUGGAUAACUCAAAUUCCAUACCUAUUAUUGAAUUCUUUGCACCUUCGGAGACCAGCCAUAGACCAUGGGAGUCAACAAGUCCUGCCCCUAAUUAUGAUAUGUGUCCGGAGUUGAUUGCAAUAGGUCAAAACCAACCCUUUUCUAUAGCCGAGGUCCUAUCUUUUAAUCAAGAAGAUAAUGCACUUUUAGCUACACCUAGGGAAUCUGUUAAUCUUUCUAUAAAUUCUGGUUUAGACCUAGCCCUACAAGACCAUGUUUUUUCUCGAUAUUUUCAUAUUGGUCUUAAUCAUAUAACCUUUGGUAGAGUCUUUCUUUCUUUAUCUAUUAGAAAAGGAAGGUAUGUCUUCAUUUGUGGACAUCCUUCUUGUACUAGUCCUCAUAAAAAAAUCUUAGAGAUAGAGAAGGAAUCAUCUCCCAAACAAGGAAAGGAAGUUUCAAUAGCCGAUUUCCAAACAUUCCAAUCCCAUGAUUCGGCUAUCCAACCCAUCCUUGAGCCUAAUAACUUCUACUAUUCUCUUUCUCCUGAACCUCCCGAUAAUCCUAUGAAUCUCUCUAGACAUCCCAUGCAUAAGAGUCACCAAGACCAUAAGGAGGAUCGAGAAGAGCAACAUCAAUGGCUAGAGGGCAUAAAAAAUCCAUGUGCUAUCACCACAUUUGAGAUCUCCAACCCUCUCUUCUUUUCUAUUUAUAAAAACUUUAAAAGAGCGGUUGUCGAUGCAUAUGUCUAUAAUAAAUAUUGCAGAUCUCAUUGCGUUGAUUGAUGGUUUCCCAAGGACAAGCUUAGUGUCCUAAAACAAGCACUUAUCAGAUCGUAACAUGAACUUCUAAUUAUUUGCAAAAUUGCCUUGUGUAUUGAGCAUAUAAAGAUAAUUGUAGAAAUAUUCCUUCGGGUAUUCUUGCCACUAACCUUUCUAGGAUUGGAGCAAGAAGAUCGGAUGAAUGACAAGCACAAGGUAUGUCCAACCAAUCAUCAUGCAACAUUGAAUUAAAUUCAUCCAACAUUGAAUUUUGCAAAAUUCAAGCUUGGGGGAAAUACCUUACAUAAAAACAUCAUUUGCCAUGUUGCUAUGUUGGUUGUCCUUACCUUUGAGACAUGCUCAAUUUGUUAAAUACUAAUUACACUACUUCACCUCCACUUGAGUGAAUCUCUAUAAAUGCUGUCAUGCUACCUUUGUCUAUUUACUAGCAAGUGUUGGUUUGGAAGUACUCGACAUACUUCCAUUGGCAUUUAAAUUAAGCAUGGUGCUUAGGUUAAAUAGCCUUCCUUAAUCUGAUUAGACAUGGAGUCUAGUUUGGUUACUGAACUAAAAACUGCUUGAGUAGAUAUUGGUAUAUUUUGUGGGACUAACACCUGCAGGAAAACUUUCAAUAUCAACCUGGGAAGUCCUGAGAUAAACUCACAUUGGAGAUGAAGAAAGUGACACUUGAAGUUUAACAAUUUGCACAAGAAAGACGUAGCUCAUAAGAGAUGAUUCAUGGAGGGUGCCACAAACACGAUGCACAACUGCUAAGAAAGGAAAGCUUCCACAAGGUGAUACUGUACCGUCACUCUUCAAGUAAGGUAACAUUUUAAGGUACUUGACUAUCACUUUUAUAAGUUUCUCCUUGGUUCUAGCAUUCACAUAAAUAAAGAGACAAACAUGUAUGAUUUGUAGCUCCAAUUAACCAACCCAAUUAAUUCAGCAUGUUUAGUCUUUUAAUCUUUGUUCUUAGUACUACCUUCAUGAUCCCACACUCCUAAUCAUAUAAGCUAAAAUGUUGCACAUUCAAUCUUUGGAAGAUAUAAACAAAACAUAAAUAUAGAUAGAUUAUCUUUCCAUUAGGUCGAGCCAUCUGAUCUGACAAAUAUUUUAAAUGCUACACUCAUGAUCCAUCAACUUUGUCUUGCUCACUAUGUUUAAGGUUAGAGAAGAACAAAUACACUUUUGGUUCUGUUGGUGUUUUCCACCAACAGGGCCCAUGCACUUGAUCUCUGCCUUGUCUCUAUGAACAGGUACACUUCGAGCAAAACCUGAAGGAGUUUUACAACUCCCAGACUCCACCAAGUAAAGGACUUGGAUCUACAAGCACAAACACACUAAGCAGGAUAUUGCCAACACCGCACUUCGAACUGCUGAGCAAACAAAGAACAUGGAUGACUCCGUAUAAAGAGGUGCAGACAUCAAGGUCCACACCUAAUCAAAUGAUGCACCUAAAGGAUGAAGACGAUGAGAAGUCUUGUCUAGAAGAUUUAAAACUUUGGAUCCUUGUCGGAGGAGGUCAAGAUCGUCGACUCAAGUCACCUUUCUUGAUCAAGAAGGACGACCCUGGUGUUCCAAGCAUUGAGUGCACAAUCAACAGAUACUCUUUUUAGAAGACACUCUACGACACCGGAUCUAACGUCAACAUAAUGGCCGCAGUCACUUAUCAGCUCCUGCAUGAAACUAUGCCCCUACAACCAAUAUACAUUCAGCUCCAGAUGAUUUUUAGGUCAUUGACAUGGGAGAAGACGAGUACGAUCCACCCACCAUCCUUGGAAGACUGUUCCUCAACACUAUCAAAGCAAUCAUCUACAUUGGAACCGGAGAAGUCCACAUGUACUUCCCCUCUGAGAAGGUACGCAGCUAUUUUACUGACCAUAACUAUAUAGUUGAAGACUCUAAGCAGGUCAGGACAAGAAGACGACGCAACCGCAACCAGAGGAGGCAAAUCAUCAAGAACGGAUGGGUAGACUACGAAGGAGAAGUGAUAAGGACUGAAGACAUACAACUUGAACAGAACUGUCCUGAGCAGACCGUAGCACCGAGUCAGGUGUGGAGAGAGAAGAUAGUUAUACACGAAGAGGAGGCGCCGCCGAAAUCACCGACUACGCCACCUAGCGAAUCCCAGGACGACUGAAAACACAAGAAGUCCCGUUCGGAGGACUUAAAAACACCGAACGCCUUGCCAAGAGGUAAACUUGGUAGUUAUCCUUUUCCAUUCAAUAGUUUGCUUAGUUAAUCAGGUUCAUGCUAUCUUGAAAAGAAAAUAAAAAUGUUAAAAAAAUAGUAAGCCCCAUGUGAGUAUGCUCAUGGCAUAAAACCCAUAAGUACAUUCACUGUGGUGGCAUAAAAAUAAAAUAAAUAAGUUUUCAUCUUACAAUAAAAUAAUAAGUGCAUGAUCCUGCUAAAUAAGUAAUAUUUAUUGAGGAGGCUCAACAUGAUAAAGGCUAGAUAUUUAUGCUAACACUUAACCAGUUCCACAAAAUUUUGUUGUCUAUUUGAGCUCCACAGGAUUCAAGGAUCAAAAAAACGAGACUAGCAGACGAAGGACAUCCUAAUCGCUGUCAGGAUGCUGCCGACUUUCAAAUACACCUCCAUCACCUGCUAGCUACAUCAGAAGAAAUUACGUCAAAAUCCAGCUUGGGGGAGAGCACCCCCAUUAAUCCAGCUAAGUGUUUUUACUCGCGUUUAUACUUUACUCAAAUAAUAAAAUAUUCAUAAUCAUAAAAAACCCAAAUAAAGAUUUUGUGCUUUUAUAUAUAUCUUUACUUAGUUUGCUAAAUAAAUAAAUAAAUAAAGUUUGCUAUGAACCCUCAUGAUAAAUGCUCACAUGGAAAUGAUGAAUAGUUGCUCUGCCAUGACUAGUUCUUAAAAUUGAAAUCUCUCUUAAGUUUAGGCAUAACUGUUAUAAUUUAAACCUGCUCUAAACCCGAACUUGUGGGAAGAGUACUUGAUCUAAAGUCUAAGUUGUUAACGGGUAUGAUAUGGAAAGGUUGAGCUGCUGUUUAUCUGUUCCUAGAGAUGCCAGAAUUCUGGAGAAUUUUAUCUUUAAAAAAUCUUUAAAAUAUCACAUGAUGAGUUCCUCUAUGAUGAGAGUUUAAAUUCCUACCACAGCCAUAUAUACAUGCUUAUUAGACUGUGAACCAUAUAUUUACUUUUUACUGCUUAUGAGCAUUGAGUAUGGUCAAACUGUGUAGACCCUAAGGAGCUUGUCAUGUGGUUAAAAUCAAGAUUCACUUGCACGUUCACUCAUACAUGCUACUUCUACUCCGGAAGUACCAUCCACAUAUAUCCACUUAUUUCCAUCUCCAGAACCACACAAAAACAUUCUACUCCUAAUCUGGGAAAGAAUGGCCAAAAAUAUUUCUGUUUUUCCCUGUGGAAUAAAUGCUCCAGUUAUUUUGGUUACUACCACUUGCUACAUUCUUUCAGGAGAUGGGUGCUCUAAAAAAAGAGAAAAACAAUAAUACGAGGAAAUAAAAAGGGGCAAGUGCCCGGAACCUCGAAGAAAAGAAAAAGUGAGACGAGAGGUAAAAAUGGACAAGUGUCCGACAGUAGAAUUAGGGGUACAAGAUACCCACCUGAGAGGAAAGAAAAAGAAAAUAUAGAGCAUCUAAUUCUCCCCAAAAAGCUUCAAAGUGCAAGAAAGGUAUGUAUCCCCUUAAAAGAGUAAAAAUAGAAUUAGACUUUCACCAUUGUUAUCACCAUCAUCACCAUACACCCACCACACAUGCACAUCUUGAUUUGACUUAUUGACUUGUUUCUCUGGAUCCAUGGUUUGACUAUGCGAUAAAUGUCAUGUAAGUAUGUAUUAGCUGUCUCCCACCUAUGAGCUCCAGAUAUCAAACCUUAUUAGAGUAGGGUGAGAGAGAAGGCAAUAUCACUAUGCCUCAUAGCACAAAUACUACAUACUUUGAGAGAAUGCAUAUACCAUUACUGCCUUAGUAAGGAUCUAGAAAUACCACAUAAGAGAGAUUUGAGAGAAUCAUAUAAGGAAUCUCUGAGUUUUAUUUGAAAAUCUGCAAAAACUCCAGAGCUAUAGCUGAUCAAGAAUAAGAGACAUGACGCUUGACUUGACCGUUCUAUCUUUUAACUGCUCAAGACACAAGUGACGGUUACAAGCCCCAUGGUGAAAGGUAAAAUGAGUAAGUUUUAAGUCUUAACAGUUUAUUCUAACUCAGAGAUGAGAUCUUGCUUGAAUGCGUGUGUACUUUUAAGGCAUGAAACCACUGCAGAAACUCUUGAGUCCAUCCUUGCUCAGGGACGAGCAAGAGGUAAGCUUGGGGGAGUUUGUUGACGGUCCUUAAGUAUCAAAUUUAAUUAUCAAAUAAAUAAAGAAAAGGAUCCAAAUGCAACCAACACCUAGAAUUAGGGUUUGAUCUGACAGAAUUCCACGAGUUUUGGUGUUUGUCUAUUUCUGCAGGGGGUUAUCAGGAAAUAAGGAAGAAAGGCCCACAUGUCGGGAUUACAUAGAGAUAUCAAUGCACCGCGCAAUUUUCUACCAUCUAGAAGACUCCAGAAGCCACGGGAAGAAAGCAGAGGCCGAAAGGGGUUAGGCCCAGGGCGCCCGCCCUCCUUCCCUGGGCGCCCGCCCUGACCUGGACUCCGUUCGGGACUCUCUUCGCACACGAUGUUCCACCGACCUAAAGGAUCAAGGAUAACAUAGUACCACAUCGCCUACCGAUCCAAAAACGCAUAGAGGAGGAGGACUAUAUAAGGAGACCCCCUGGCCCCUGGAGAAGACUAGAAGUUAUCAUAGAGUUGAGGGGUGCCCUCGAAGGAAAACCUCUUCUCUAAAUAAUAUUUCUUUUUAGGCUUAGCAACCAAUGUGAGUAGAAAUAGAUCUUCUAGUUUCUACUAGAUUGAGAGAGAUAGAGUGGAGGUGUAGAUCGGAGGAAGGCCGACCUGUCGGUGUCUACUCUGAGUUGUACCUACGAGGUCAAGUCUCCUAACCCGAGGCUUGCUUCUAAGAUUCUUCAGUAAUUCGACUUCUAAUUCUAGUAAGUUCUUGUUUUAUUGUUCUUUGGUUUAUGAGUUUACUUUAAUCCUCUUCCGGUUGAGUAUUAGAGUAAUCAUUGCUAGCGUAAACGUGGUGUUUAGGCUAGGGUACUCAUAGAUAUCCCCUGACUAGCUGGACCGUGGUAGUAGCGAGGAACGUGACAUUUCCGAGUUACCUUUGUAUCCCAUAUCUUGUUAGCAGGACGGGUAGGUUUAUAGGUGCGGGUCGAACAUCCUUUGUGGUGUCUAGAUUCCGUAAGCCUCCCCAAUAGAACAGUAGAUCAUCCUUACUAAGGUUAGAACGAGACUACGGUUGCAGUCUUCUCUAUACAUCACUCACAUCGAGAAACAUUCUUUGUAGCCUAAAGGGAUAGUAGCAAUAGAUUUGGUUAGUCAGAUGCACCCUUUCUCCCAGUGGUAAAAAUAUAAAUACGAUAACUCUGGAUAACCUCCCGGGUGAAAUGCUCACCGAUAUCCGUGCGCUUGCGGAUCAUUUCCUUAUUGCGUUACCAAAUAUCAACAGUAUAAAGCAUAGUGAGAUUGUCUUCUCUCUCACCCUACUCUAAUAAGGCUUUAAUAUCUGGAGCUCAUAGGUGGGAGAUAAAGUAUACAUACUUACAAGACAUUUAUUGUAUAGUCAAACCAUGGAUCCAAAGAAACAAAUCAAUAAGUCAAAUCAAGAUGUGGAUGUGUGGCGAAGGAAUGGUGUAUGGUGAUGAUGGUGAUAACAAUGGUGAAAGUCUAAUUCUACUUUUGCUCUUUUGAGGGGAUACAUACCUUCCUUGCUUUUUGAAACUUUAUGAGGAGAAUGAGAUGCUCUAUCUUUUCUUUUCUCUCAGGCGGGUAUCUUGUACCCCUAAUUCUACUGUCGGACACUUGUCCAUUUUUACCUCUCGUCUCACUUUUCUUUUCUUUCGAGGUUCCGGGCACUUGCCUCUUUUUAUUUCCUCGUAUCUUCUUUUUUUUAGAGCACUCAUCUCUUGAGAUAAUAUAGCAAGUGGUAGUAACAAGAUAACUUGAGCAUUUAUUUCACAAGGGAAAAACAGAAAUACUUUUGGUUAUUCUCUCCCGGAUUAGGAGUAGAAUAUUUUUUAGGUGAUUCUGGAGAUGAAAUGGGUGGAUAUAUGUGGAUGGUACUUCUAGAGUAGAAGUAGCAUAUAUGAGUGAACGUGCAAGUGAAUCUUGAUUUAACCACAUGACAAGCUCCUAAGGGUCUACACAGCUUGACCACACUUAAUGCUCAUAAGCAGUAAAUAGUAAAUGUGUGGCUCAAAGUCUAAUAAGCAUGUAAAUAUGGGUGUGGUAGGAAUUUAAACUCUCAUCAUACAGGAACUCAUCAUGUAAUAUUUUAAAGAUUUUUAAAGAUAAAAUUCUCCAGAAUUCUAGCGUCUCUAGGAACAGAUAAAUAGCAGCCCAACCUUCCCAUAUCGUAUCCGUUAACAACUUAGACUUCAGAUCAAGUUUUUAUCCCACAAGUUUAGGUCUAGAGCAAGCUUUAAAUUAUAACAGUUACGUCUAAACUUGAGAGAGAACUUAAAAUGUUCAAAUUAGACAGAGCAACUAUUCAUCAUAUCCAUGCUUGAGUUUUAUUUAGAUACAGAUUAGCAUAGCCACUUUAUUUAUUUAUUAAACACACUAAGCAAAAGAUAUAUAUAUAUAUAUAUAUAUAUAUAUAUAUAUAUAUAUAUAUAUAUAUAUAUAAGCACAAAAUCUUUAUUUGGUUUUCCAUAGUUAUGUAUAUUUAAAUUCUAAUAUAAUAUAAGUAUAAAGAUAGAUAGAAAUACUUAUCGGGAUAAAUGGGGGUGCUCUCCCCCAAGCUGAAUUUUGACGUAAUUUUUCUUGAUGUAGCUAGCAGGUGGCAGAGGUGUAUUUGAAAGUCAGCAGCAUUCUGACAACGAUUAGAAUGUCCUCCGUCUGCUAGUCUUCUUGAUUCUAAAAUUCUGUGGAGCUCAAAUAGACAACAAAGCUUGUGGAACUGAUUAAGUGUUAGCAUAAAUAUCUAGCCUUUAUCAUGUUGAGACUCCUUAAUAAUUAUUACUCCCUGUUUUUAUAUUUUCGUUUUAUAAAGCAGAAUAGAAAUAUUUAUUUUAUUUUUAUGCCACAUUGUGAAUGUACUUAUGGGUUUUAUGCCACUCGUAUACUCACAUGGGGCUUACUAUUUUUCACAUUUUUAUUUUCUUUUUAGGAUAGCAUGAACAUGAUUAACUAAGUAAACUAUUCGAAAUAAUUAAAAGGGAAAGGAUAACUACCAAGUUUACCUUUUGGCAAGGCGUUCGAUGUUUUUAAGUCCUCUGAACGGGACUCUCCAUUUUCUCAAUUGUCCUGGGAUUCAUUGGGUGGCGUAGUCGGUACUUCCGGCGGCGCCUCUUCUUCAUGUAUAGUUAUCUUCUCUUUCCACACCUGACUCGGUGCUACGGUCUCCUCACGAUAGUUCUGUUUAAACUCUACGUCUUCUGACCUUACAACUUCUCCUUCAUAGUCUGCCCAUCCAUCCUUGAUGAUUUGCCUCCUCUGGUUGCGGUUGCGUCGUUUUCUUACCUGCUUACUGUUGACACUAGCUAACACCACUUAGAUACUAGGUUGUCAUCCCUAGCAUGGCGCCAGAGUGUACAAAGGUAUUUAUAAAUGUAAAGGCUCUCUAGAAAAUAAUCUAUUCUAUCCGUAAGCGCACAGAUAAAACACCUCAUUGUAGCAUUUCACCAGGAUAAGUAUUCCAGCUAUCGUUAUUUAUAAUUUUGCUCUAGGGAUCUAAAGAAGAUGGAAUUAAAUCAAGGGACAAAAUCUAUCAAGGCAUAGACUAGAGAUAAACUUGCAAGAACAUGAUUACUAAUGAGAAACUCGUCACACAGUCACUUACUUUAGCAGGGGGUAAACCAUAAAGAUAAUGAUAAUAAAGUAUAAGUUCAUGGGUAGAUAGCACAGCGAUUAGAAAAUAGACUACUCCUCAUAUAUGUAGGUGAUGUCGGAUUAGCUAGAGAAUGGAUUCUAAGUUAUCUACUAACUACUAAGUCAUAAUCUACUCUAGUUAUCUACAAGAUCAUAUAUAGCAUAAAAGACUCUUCAUUCAUGUAUAAGGAACAUUGAUAAAGUAAAUCAGAACAUCGCAUGACUUACUCCACAAUACCGGUUCUGCCUGUCCUAGCAACGGAGGGUGGACUAUAUAAGAAUCAACGAAGCUGUCACUAUCGCGAACUACCACACGACUCGGCCAAUAGGAUACAUUUGCAGAUAAAUAACAUCUAAACACCACGCUCACAUGUGAUCUAUCACUUAACUCCCUCGCGACAAGAGCUAAGCGCUUUGCAAACUUAUACAUAAACUCAUUAUCAAUUAGAACUAUAUCAAAUAUAGAACUAGAGCAAACUAAGAACAUAAUAAUUAGAGACAUAAUGCAAUUAGAACAAUAGAAUUAGAGAAAUAUAUGAAUAAUACCAAUCUUUAUUACCGAAGAUCCGAAUCCAGAGCGUAGUGCUCUACUUCUCUAAAUGCUAUCUAAUCAACCUCUAAACUUGAAGGAUUAGGGAGUAGCUAAUUCUAAUUCUUUGUGGGAGAGAAGCUCUAAACCCUAACUUUGAUGGCUACCUCUGAAUAAUGAUUUCUCCUCCUCUCCUCUAGGGGCCAGGGGGUCUGGUUUUAUAGUCCCCUCAAGUGAACGUGAGCCAUUGGAUCAAACCGACAUAGAUUGUAUGGUUUAGAUUGAUCCUUUAGGUCGGUGGAGUCUUGCCCCGAAGCAGAGUCCUGGUUGGAAUCCAACCCUGGGCGGGCGCCCAAGGGGGGUGAGCGGGCGCCCUACCCCCGAGCCCGAAUCGCUUCCCGUUCGUUCCCGUGGCUUCUGGAUCCUUCUAGAUUGAGGAAAAUUACGCGGCACGUAAUUAUCUCGUUGUAAACAUGACAUGUGGGUCUUCUCUCCAUAUUUUCUGAUAAACCCCUGCAGAAAUAGAUAAACACCAAAACUCGUGGAAUUCUGUCAGAUAAAACCCUAAUUCUAGAUGUUUGUUUCAUAUUGAUCCUUUUUCAUGUUUAUUUGAUUAUUAAUUUUAGUACUUAAGGACCGUCAACAAACUCCCCCAAGCUUACCCUUUGCUCGUCCCUGAGCAAACAGCUAAACUCAGAUGGAUCAGGAGUUGCUUCGAUGUUUUCUUUUCUGACAGACACACAUGCUUUUACAUAAAAAUUCUUCCAGAUUAAAGUGAAGUGUUAUGAAGUUUAGUACCUGCACUUAAAUCUUAAGUAAUCGAAAGACAAAAUAGUUAAGUCAAGCACUAUCCCUCCUGUCUAUACUUCACCUUUAUUCUAGAGUUUUUCAUAAGUUUUCAAAAUAAAACUCAGAGUUCCCAGCAAUAAUCUCUCAAGUCUCUCUAUAUGUGGUAUUUGUGGAUCCUUACCAUGAUAUCACUUACCUAUAGCUAAUGGAAUAUUUAAGUGGAGCUCAUAGGAGUGAAAAACAGCUCAUACAUAUGUUGUCUAAUCGAGCCAUGGAUCCAAAGGAACUCAGCAUAUAAUUAAAUCGAGAUGUGCAUGUGUGAUGGAGUAAAUGAUAAUGAUGGUGAAAAUGCAUAAGUGAUAAUAAUAAAAUUUAGUUCUCAUUGCUCCUUAUAUUGCUAUCUCUCCUCUUCUUUGAUCUUUGCUUUGGGAGAACAUGGGCUAUCUUUUUCUUUCUUCUUUCUUCUUUUUUUUUCAGGUGGGUAAUAGAUACCCCUAAUUCUACUGUCGGACACUUGUCCAUUUUUUCCGCUCAAGUGGGCAUCUUUGUACCCCUAAUUCUACUUCGGACACUUGUCCAUUUUUACCUCUCGUCUCACUCUUUUUCUUUCUUUUUCGAGGUUCCCGGGCACUUGCUCCUUUUUAUUUCGUCGCAUAUUUUUGCAUAACCCAUGCCUCUUCUGCAUUGAAUCUUUUUAGAGAGAGAGAAUAACAAUAUUCGAGACAGUGAGUAAAAAUAUUUUUAGCAAUUUUAAUGAUUGAUGAUGGAUGCUGUGGUAGAUGUGUGCAAGUGAAUAUCUUAAUUUAACCACAUGAAAAGCUCCUAAGGGUCUACACAGCUCGAUCAAACUCAAUGUAAAUAUAGUAAAAGAUGUUAUAGCAAGUAUGGCUGUGGUAUGUAAUUUUGUUAUGCUAGGAACUCAUCAUGUGAUUUGUAAGUUUUCAAAAAUAAAUCUCUAGAACUUAGUGUAGUAGGAACAAGAUAAACAGGAGCUCAACUUUAUAGCAUGCCUCUCUCUUACCUAGACUUUAGUUUUAUGCUUCCCAAAGAUAGUAAUUUUAGUUUUAGUAAUUCCUGGAAGAACUCUAAUAUAAAAGCUAGGUACUUGUAAGUAAGCAAACAGAGCAAUUGUUCAUCAUUUCCAUCAUGUAUCUUUUUGGUCUUUUUUAUUUUUUUCUAGAGAUUAAACUUAGCAGAUAAAAUAAAGCACACUUAUCUACACACUCUUUUUAUUUUGUUUUUAUGUUUAUAGAAUGCAGUCAAUUAAAGCAAGAAAAUAUUUAUUUGGUUUUCUAAGUUUUUCCUUUAAGAUAAAUUAAAUACUAGAAUAGAAAAGAAUAAAUAAGAAGAGCAAAUAGAAACUUACUUGAUAAAUUUAGGGAGGAACUCCCCCAAGCUGGAUGUUGACGUCGGUCUUACCCGAUGUUCCAGAACCGCAUCAUGGUUGUGAUGUUAUCGUUCAUUGUUGUUGUAUCUUGUCUCAGCUCUUGUACCGCAGUGGCAUGGUCCUGGUUCCAUUUUUGUUGCUCUUCCAGGAGUCUUCCAUGUUCUGCUUGCGUGUUCUGGAUGUCGAGGAGGGUGUUGUCGGUACGAGUGAAGAAAGCACCGGCCUCUUGAUAGUAGUCAUUCGUGAAGGCGUAGGAGGCAUCGGAGUAUCGUCCUGCAUCAAAUUGGGGUGGAGGUCUGGAUCCUGAAGCUCCAUAUGGAUCAGUGGAGUACCUGCCCGUAUGAAAAGGCGGGUUUGUCCACUGGUGAUCUUGGCUCUCCGGCCAUGUCUCCUCUGUUGGCUCUUGUGGUUGCGCAUGACGAGCCCAUGGGUCUCGAAGGACUCGAGGGUUGUAAUCGCAAUAAUGCAGGUGUGCUGCUUCUUCUGGUCCAGGGUCAGCUCCAUACCAAGUGCGUUCUCGGUGAGUGGUUAUCCUUUCAGAUGCCACUCGCUGUGGAGUUCUCUGGUUCACUGGUGUUGCUGCAAUCUCAAUCAAAAAGUUUUGCACAGAGUAGAGGCCAAGGUUCGGGUUAGGUAACCGAAUCUUGCUUUUAUCAUCAUACAACAUGUACAUUAUAUUUCCCUCUUUCUUUAACAUCCGAGCUUGUCUAAAUGUGUCAUAGCCUUGAUAAAUUCUUAAUUCUUCUAUGAAGUCCAACGAUGAGUUUUCUAAUAAAUGAAGAUUAGAGGCUAGACGAGUGAUAAGUGAAGUACAUCCUACUGGUCCCUGAAGACUAGGUAUACUAAGCCAUUGUGAAACUAAUAGUGUGACAGGUGAAGUGGGUACUUUACUAAUAGCAGCAUAUAAAAGUUGUAAAUCUCCUACUCUUACUUUCGUAAUAUCAUCGCGAUAGAAAAGAUUGUACCCAAGCCAUUUGUGAAACAUCCUAAGAGUGGGGUGUUCCAUGUCACUGGUUCGGGCUUGACUGUAAAAAUUAUCUCUAGAUAUUUCUCUCCAAAACUGGUCUCUCUCAAAAUUGGGUAAAUCUGAGUCAAUGUUCAGGAUGCAUCUUGAAGAGAAACCAAGAUGGUCGCUCAGCUCUCUCCAAGAUAACAUAAUUUCCUGUUUAAACAUCCGAAAAGCAAUUCCCCCCUCAUAGUAUUGUAAAGUGCAAAGAAAUUCGAGGGUGAGAAGACGAGAACCCAGCUCAGUUAUAUUCCAAAAAUUUGUCCAACCCAUCAUUUGAAAAAUUAAGUCAAAUUCAGUGUCCAUACCUGUUUCUCGUAGUAGGAUUGGAUCGAUAGUAGGAGUGUGAAUGAAAUCUUUAUUCUUCAAUUGCUGAUAGACUUCCUUCUCUCUUCGGGUCUUCAAUCCAAGGUCUCCUAUCUUGAGAAGGACCUUGACUUGCUGGCCUGAUGAAGAUGAUGGAGCUUGUGUGGGUGUCGGAUCGACGCUCAUCUCUGAUGGCUGUGAGGAGUGUCGGGUUGAACUCCUUGUACCAAUGUUCUUGAGAGCCUUCCCUGCAUUUUUCACCUUCUUAAACAUCCUGCAAACAAAAGUUGGCAAAAACACAACUGGUGGAAAAUGUGAGAUAAAAUGUUGGUGGUUAGCUGUCCGGAGUGUCAGUAGUCAAGGGGUUAAUUGUUCAAGACAAGUUUCUAUUUUGGUAGAGCCUCCCCCUAAAGAACUUUUACUUCCGCUUAGACAACGGGAUCACUACUUGCUAGGUGACAAACACUCUCUCAUAAGAACUCCAACCUUCUCUUCCACUCUUCUCUUUCUUUCUACUCUCUUCUCUUUACUACAAAAGCUCCUUCUCGGGAAACUGAGAUUUGUGUGGUUUUCUGAAGUGUUUGUGUGAAGAGAAGGGGAGCUGGAGGUGGCCUUUUAUAGGAGGAAGAGGGGACAGGGCGGGCGCCCUUGGUAGGUGGGCGGGCGCCCACUUGUGAUGCCCAUCCUGGGUGUGCCUCCUCCACAUGCUUCCUUGCUUUGAUCUCACGCAGAAUAAUGUUGUGUUGGUGGUGGUUGGACGGUGGAAAGAUGUCAAGUGAGUGGAAACAUAUUGGUGGAUGAAAUUAUGUGAUGGGAUGUAUGUGAGGUGAAGUGUAUGAAAUGUGGGACCCAAAGAGUGUGGGUCAUGCUUCUAGAAGAUUAAUAUGAUUAAAUACAAUGCAGGAAAAUCUAUGAGAAUCGAAACUUAUUGAAAAUGAUAUCGGAAAAUAUUUUUGUGCCUCCAUAAUAAUUAAUAAUAUGGGUUGUUACACACCACGAAUAUUAUUUAUAUGGGGCUUUUUUUUAUUAUUAUUAUAAUUAUGCUAUGAAUGACUAAGAAUUAAUUAUGCAAGAAUUUAAAUAUGACAAAAUUAAUAAUGUGGAUAAAUACCGAUUUACCUCCCGGUGAGGGUUUGGGAUUUUUAGGUCCCCCAAGCUGGACCUCCAAUUCUUUUAAUCUUCUGAGUUACCUUCCUCCGGAGAUGAUGUCUCCAGUGGUUCUUCAUGAACUUCCUUGACUGUAGAGUCUCUCUCUGGUCUGGGUUUGAAUGUGAAGUGUUCUUCUUGACCGUUUAUGUUGAACUUGAUUUCUCCCUUCCCGACAUCAAUGUGGGCAUUGGCAGUGCUCAGAAAUGGCCUUCCAAGGAUGAUGGACACUUUCGAGUCAGGACUCAUGUCCAGUACUACGAAGUCUACUGGUACCAGGAAAUCUCUGAUCUUGACUGGAAUGUUCUCGGCGAUGCCCAACGGGUGUCGAACCGAUUGAUCCGCUAGUUGUAGGCACAUUGAUGUUGGUUCUAAGGCUGCAUGAUCAAGCUUUUUGUAGACUGAUGCUGGCAUCACACUGACACUUGCUCCGAGAUCACAAAGUGCAUUGUUGAAGUGUUGGUUUCCGAUCGAGCAAUCAAUAGUGGGACAUCCAGGAUCUUCCUUCUUCUUUGGUGGCUUAUUGAGGAUGGCCGCACUACAUUCUUCUGUCAGCUUGAUAACCUCAGUGGUGGGCAGUGGUCUCUUCUUGUUAAGAAUAUCUCUGAUGUACUUUGCAUAUGUAGGUACCUGUAUGGCAUCGAGCAGAGGUAUGUUGACAUAUAAUUUCUGAAUGACCUCUACAAACUUACCAAACUGCUCAUCCGACUGCAGUCCUCUGUUUCUUCUGGGAAAUGGCAAAUAGUUGGUGUCGUAAAAAUCUUUCCUCAUUUCUCCAGUUCUUGGUGGUUGGAGCAGAUCUUCUGCUUCAACUGGGCCUUCUUCUUCUGCUGGUUCCACUGGUGCUGAUGUUCUUUGUUUCUCUUUUGGGUAUGGUGGAUCUCUGGUAGCUUUGCCUCCUCUAGUAGUUAUAUUCUUUACCUGCUCAAUGUUAGUAGCAACAGACAGUGCAGCAGCUAUCUUUAUUAAUUUAAGUUCUACCCUUUUAUUAAGAGUGUUUUGCUCAUCAAAGGCAGUUAGUAGAAAAUUCAUUUUAUUGUGUAUAUCUUUUAGAGAUGAUUCAUUUGUAUCUAGCCUUUGUUUAACUUCAUCAUUAAUUUUGGUUUGUUGAGCAAUUAUCUCUUUUAAUGAAAGUUGCUUGACAGUAUUACCUGAAUUCAUACCUUUGCUAUUGGGUUGACUUGAAGUUGGUUGAUAUUUGUAUGCUGUCUCAAUGGCCCUUUGUUCUUCUUUGAACUUGGCCCUCUGGUCAAUCCAAUGGAGCAAAUUUUCCAUCUUAGUUGAUAAUGCUUUUACUUCUUCUGGUAUUUCUUCAGUUUGAUGACAUUGUUGAGCUUUAUCUUGGAACCAGCUUUAGUUUUCUGCUAUCUUAUCCAAAAGUAUCUCUGCUUUUCGAGUUGUAAGCUCCAAGAAUGAUCCUUUAGCAGAUGCAUCUAGGUACUCACGAGUCUUCUGGGUUAAUCCAUGGUAGAAGGUCUGCAUAAGUAACCAUGUAGUCAUUCCAUGGUGAGGACAAUCUGAUAUGUAUCCUUGAAAACGCUCCCAUGCUUCUGAAAUGGCUUCUGUCUUCUGCUGUUGGAAACUGACAAUAUUUCCUCUUAAGGCGGUUGUUUUGCCUAUAGGGAAAAACUUUGAUAGAAAGGCAUCUGACAAGUUCGUCCAGUUGUUGAUGUUAUCUUGAUGAGUGUAGAACCACUUCCUCGCUUUUCCUUCUAGUGAGAUGGAAAAAGGUGAAGCAGUAUGACGUCUUUGUCAACUCCGUUGAUGUGGAUUGUGCUCCUAAUCUCUAAGAAAUUCUGCAAGUGUGCACUGGCAUCUUCAUGUGCCUUUCCACUGAAUUGUGUAGCUUGUACCAAAUUGAUGAGGCUUGACUUGAGCUCAAACUCGGGUAUUCCUUCUUCUACUGCAAAUCUUGGACCAGUUGGAAUGUUGUCAAGACUUGGAGCAGAGAAUGCUUGCAAGGUCUUUUGUGCCAUAGCUUCAGCAAUUGGUAGCUAGCUUCUUCUUCUCUUGAUUGCUUUGGUUCUAAUGAUGAAGAGUUGAAUGUACCCAAAGUCAAUCCUGUUAUACCCUGUAUAAAAAUAUAAACAUAGAAAAACAACAGGGUGAACCUGCCAAAGCAGAGGUGCCUUGUUAUGAUUUCUCACUUAGUAGCUGUUUUAUGCAAUUAUUUCUCUAUAGUCUAGUCUAAAAUUUUAUAUGAAUAACCUUGAUUGAUUUUCUGGCUUUCCUUAAUAUUACCCUUUUGUUCCCUUUAAUGACUUAUUCCUGAGGCUCGUAUAAUUCCUAUAAGAUCCUAUAAUUCCCCGGCAACGGCGCCAGAAAUGCUUGUUGACACUAGCUAACACCACUUAGAUACUAGGUUGUCAUCCCUAGCAUGGCGCCAGAGUGUACAAAGGUAUUUAUAAAUGUAAAGGCUCUCUAGAAAAUAAUCUAUUCUAUCCGCAAGCGCACAGAUAAAACACCUCAUUGUAGCAUUUCACCAGGAUAAGUAUUCCAGGUAUCGUUAUUUAUAAUUUUGCUCUAGGAAUCUAAAGAAGAUGGAAUUAAAUCAAGGGACAAAAUCUAUCAAGGCAUAGACUAGAGAUAAACUUGCAAGAACAUGAUUACUAAUGAGAAACUCGUCACACAGUCACUUACUUUAGCAGGGGGUAAACCAUAAAGAUAAUGAUAAUAAAGUAUAAGUUCAUGGGUAGAUAGCACAGCGAUUAGAAAAUAGACUACUCCUCAUAUAUGUAGGUGAUGUCGGAUUAGCUAGAGAAUGGAUUCUAAGUUAUCUACUAACUACUAAGUCAUAAUCUACUCUAGUUAUCUACAAGAUCAUAUAUAGCAUAAAAGACUCUUCAUUCAUGUAUAAGGAACAUUGAUAAAGUAAAUCAGAACAUCGCAUGACUUACUCCACAAUACCGGUUCUGCCUGUCCUAGCAACGGAUGGUGGACUAUAUAAGAAUCAACGAAGCUGUCACUAUCGCGAACUACCACACGACUCGGCCAAUAGGAUACAUUUGCAGAUAAAUAACAUCUAAACACCACGCUCACAUGUGAUCUAUCACUUAACUCCCUCGCGACAAGAGCUAAGCGCUUUGCAAACUUAUACAUAAACUCAUUAUCAAUUAGAACUAUAUCAAAUAUAGAACUAGAGCAAACUAAGAACAUAAUAAUUAGAGACAUAAUGCAAUUAGAACAAUAGAAUUAGAGAAAUAUAUGAAUAAUACCAAUCUUUAUUACCGAAGAUCCGAAUCCAGAGCGUAGUGCUCUACUUCUCUAAAUGCUAUCUAAUCAACCUCUAAACUUGAAGGAUUAGGGAGUAGCUAAUUCUAAUUCUCUGUGGGAGAGAAGCUCUAAACCCUAACUUUGAUGGCUACCUCUGAAUAAUGAUUUCUCCUCCUCUCCUCUAGGGGCCAGGGGGUCUGGUUUUAUAGUCCCCUCAAGUGAACGUGGGCCGUCAGAUCAAACCGACAUAGAUUGUAUGGUUUAGAUUGAUCCUUUAGGUCGGUGGAGAGCUGUCCCUAUGCAGAGUCCUGAUUGGCUUCCUGGCCAGGGCGGGCGCCCAAGGGGGGUGGGCGGCCACCCAGCUCCCGAGCCCGAAUCGCGUCCCGUUCGUUCCCGUGGCUUCUGGAUCCUUCUAGAUUGAGGAAAAUUGCGCGGUACGUAAUUAUCUCGUAGUAAACAUGACAUGUGGGCCUUCUCUCCAUAAUUCCUGAUAAACCCCUGCAGAAAUAGAUAACACCAAAACUCGUGGAAUUCUGUCACAUAAAACCCUAAUUCUAGAUGUUUGUUUCAUAUUGAUCCUUUUUCAUGUUUAUUUGAUUAUUAAUUUUAGUACUUAAGGACCGUCAACACUUACAUUCUUCAACGAUAUAGUUAGGGUCAGUAAAAUAACUGCGUACCUUCUCUGAGGGGAAGUGCAUAUGGACUUCUCCAGUUCCAAUGUAGAUGAUUGCUUUAACGGUGCUGAGGAACGGUCUUCCAAGGUUGAUGGGUGGAUCAUAUUCGUCUUCUCCCAUGUUAAUAACUUGAAAGCCUGUGUAGACAAAAUGAUCGUCUAUUUUGACUGGGACAUCAGUUACUGUUCCUUUAACCUCUCGAAAUGUCUGAUCUGCCAUCUGGAGCUGAAUGUAUGUUGGUUUUAGGGGCAUGGUUCCGAACAAGAGCCGAUAGGUGACUGCGGCCAUUAUGUUGACGCCCGAUCCGGUGUCACAAAACGUCUUGUAGAAGUUGUAUCCAUUUAUGGAGCAAUAGAUGCUUGGCAUUCCUGGGUCAUCCUUCUUAGUCAUAAAUGGUGACUUAAGUCGAUGAUCUUGACCUCCAUGAACUGUAGUGACCAUCUUAGCUGACUCGGUCCACACUUGCUUGUUCCUGUUCCUCCUGUUGGUCCUCUUCCUUGAUUCACGUCUGGAUUGAUCUGGGAUUUGUGUAGUCUUGUUCUUGAAGAAAAACGUCUCCUUCCUCCCUUUGAUGUAGAAACUGAUCUUGGCAGCACUAGCGUAGAUGACAGCUUCUGAGGUGUUUAAGAAUGGCCUCCCUAAUAUGAUGGGUGCUCUCUCAUCAUUACCGGUCUCUAUCACCACGAAGUCUGCUAGGGCGUAUAAGGUACCAACUCGAACACAAAGGUUCUUCAAUAUUCCCUUUGGAAAACUUAAUGCCUGAUCUGCAAACUGCAAACACAUGGUUGUUUCGAACAAAGGAUAUGUAAAGAAUUUUUCAUAGAGUACCCUGGGUAUAAUGUUGACGCUGGAGCCAAAGUCACAGAGUGCUUCUAGGACGUCCACCAUGCCGUUAGAGAUCGGGAUGACGGGGCGUCCUGGAUCACCUCUCUUGACCGGCAGAAGGUCAGUAGUGAAUUUAGUGACGGGGUUACUCCAAUUACCUGCAUCAAACAUGUCUACAAGAUUUGCAGAUUCUAAUCCUUCCGGUUGUGAUGGUAUACUGGGGUUAGUAGCAGGAACAGCAGCAGCUAUUUGACUUAACUGAGAUUCAAUCAUUUUAUUAAAGCUAAUUUGAUUCUUGAUGGCAGUAGAGAAAUUAUCCAUUCUAUUAUUUAUAUUUUCUAGCAUUUUAUCAUUUGAUGCCAAUUUCUUAGAUAGAUUAUCCAUUAGCCUUCAUUGAUUAGACGCUAACUCUCUCAAAGGUGGAAAAUUAUUAUUAUUGUUGUAAGAAUUGUUACCUUGAUAAUUACCUGAGUAGUUAGGCCUCUGUUGAUUCCAACCUUGAUUUUGUUGAGGACGGUUGUAGUAGUAGUUGUUGUUAUUGUUGAUGUAGUUCACAUCCUCAAGCAUCUCAGGGCAGUGGUUGCCUGAGUGUCCAAUAUCUCCACACUUCUCACAAGUCAUGUGAGAGUCGUAGAUGUGCAUAACUUCCUUCUUAUCUCUAGCUCUAUCAUCGAGCUUCUUCAUGAGCAGGUCUAGCUUUGCAGACAACAUGUCUACCUCCUUGAGCUGAUGCAUACCUCCACCUUUCUUGCGUGUCUGGGUCCUUUCUUCAUUCCAGCCUUGGUUGGACACCAUCUUCUCCAUAAGAGCUGUGGCUUGUGAUAUAGUAAGUGAUAAGAAUGCUCCUCCAGCUGCAGCAUCCAUGGUCUCUCGGGCACUGUUGCUGAGCCCAUGAUAAAAUGUCUGCAUUAGUAGCCAACUCUCCAUUCCAUGAUGGGGACAUUCUAGGAUGUAUUCUUGGAAACGCUCCCAUGCUUCUGGAACAGAUUCAUCAUUUUGUUGCUGAAAACUUGUAAUCUUCCCACGGAGAGCAUUGGUCUUGCCCAUGGGAAAGAACUUAGCCAGGAAGUCUGUAGAGCAGAGUGCCCACGUAGUAUUCUUCUCCUUUGUAGCGUAGAACCACUGCUUCGCUCUUCCUAACAGUGAGAAUGGGAAGAGGCGAAGUAGUAUAGCAUCUCUGGGGACUCCUGAUAUGGUAAAUGUGUUGCAUAUCUCCAGGAAGUGUUGGAGAUGAGCACUAGCAUCUUCAUGUGCCUUCCCACAGAACUGGUUGGAUUGCACCAUGUUGAUAAGUCCAGGCUUGAGCUCAAAGUUGCCAUCAAUCUCUGCAGCAUGUCCAGUGCGGAUGUUGUCCGUAGUGGGAGCUGAGAACUCGCGGAUGGAUUUGUUCGCCAUGGCUUCGAACUCUGAAGACAAGUUCCGGUGAUCUUCUUGAUUGGAUGAAGCUUCUUGCUGAAGUGUUGAUGAUCUCUUCUUGAGCUUGGCUCUAGUUCUUCGGAAUAACGCUUCGGGAUUAUCAAUAAAAUUUCCUGGAAGAUGUCUUCUAUUCAUACAUUCCCCUGGAUAAGAUAAAAUAGAAAAAUAUCGGGGUAAAACUGUAUGAGAGAAUAGAUAAGCUCAUUCAUAUUAGUGAUGCAAAUGAUAACUCAAAAUCCUUUAUUCCAUUCUUGAUUAGUAAUCAACCUUCCCCGGCAACGGCGCCAAAAAUGCUUGUUGGGUAUUCUUAACAUCAUUACCAAAAGUAGACAGUUUUCUAAUUCUAGUAACGGUGCCAAAAAUGCCAAACCUAUCCCUCACACCACUUAAGCCAAGUUGUCAUCCCCAGCAUGACAUGAGAGACGCGGUAUUGAAAUAUGCAAUUGCUCUUCUAAAUAAAUAAUGAAUGGGAUCUGCAAGCGCACAGAUUAAUACCGAUGUAGCAUUUUAACCGGGAAGUAUUCCAGGUAUCGUUAUUUAUAUUUUUACCACUGGGAAGGGAUUAACAAUCAUCAAUAUUGAUUAUAGAAUAGAAUAUGAUAUUGAGUAUCUAUCAUUGCAUGUAUAAUUGAGAACAUUUAUCUAACUCUUUCAUACAUGGAUAAGUGUCACAUAAAAGAUAUAUGAAAUAAUGAAUAGUGACAAAGAUAAUUAAUCUGAUCAUAACUAGCCACAUAAUAAAUAUGAUAAGCAUUGUUGACGGUCCUUAAGUAUCAAACUUAAUUAUCAAAUAAACAAAGAAAAGAAUCCAAAUGAAAUCAACAUCUAGACUUUGGGUUUUAUGUGACAGAAUUCCACGAGUUUUGGUGUUUGUCUAUUUCUGCAGGGGGUUAUCAGGAAAUAAGGAAGAAAGGCCCACAUAUCAGGAUUACAUAGAGAUAUCAACGCACCGCGCAAUUUUCUACCAUCUAGAAGACUCGAGAAGCCAUGGAAAGGAAGCAGAGGCCCAAAGGGGCCAGGCCCAGGGCGCCCGCCCCCCUCUGGAUGCCUUUCGGGACUCUUUUCGCACACGAUGUUCCACCGACCUAAAGGAUCAAGGAUAACGUAGUACCACAUCGCCUACCGACCCAAAAACGCAUAGAGGAGGAGGACUAUAUAAGAAGACCCCCCUGGCCCCUGGAGAAGACAAGAAGUUAUCAUAGAGUUGAGGGGUGCCCUCGAAGGAAAACCUCUUCUCUAAAUAAUAUUUCUUUUUAGGCUUAGCAACCAAUGUAAGUAGAAAUAGAUCUUCUAAUUUCUACUAGAUUGAGAGAGAUAGAGUGGAGAUGUAGAUCGGAGGAAGGCCGGCCUGUCGGUGUCUACUCCGAGUUGUACCUGCGGGAUCAAGUUUCCUAACCCGAGGCUUGCUUCUAAGAUUCUUCAGUAAUUCGACUUCUAAUUCUAGUAAGUUCUUGUUUUAUUGUUCUUUGGUUUAUGAGUUUACUUUAAUCCUCUUCCGGUUGAGUAUUAGAGUAAUCAUUGCUAGCGUAAACGUGUUGUUUAGGCUAGGGUACUCAUAGAUAUCCCCUGACUAGCUGGACCGUGGUAGUAGCGAGGAACGUGACUGUCACACCCAAAUUUAAGGAUAAAUUUGAGUACAAUAAUCUCAUGUGCGCCCUAGGAAUAGUCGCGCACACAAGUCGACAAAUUACAAAUGUAUCAUCACAAGUGUCUUACAAAACGUUAUUACAACACAAAUAUAUCAAAGUCUGCGACAAACGGAAAAUAAACUCAUAACUAACUAUGGUAAGAUAACUCCAACACAGGGACGACCGACUGGGAAUCGCCAACCUAGAAGUCCUCAGGGAAUUCCUCGUAGUAGCUGUCAUCUGUUACCCAUCCGGGAUUUUGUCCAAAAAGAAAGAUAAAGACAAGCGUGAGUACAUCUAGUACUCCGCAAGCAUAACAUAGGAUAUUAUGCGGCUCAAAGAGGUCAGACACUGGCUACUGCAGUUAGCAUUUUAAUUGGUCAAUAUUUUAAUCCUAUUUAAUCAUCAAUUAUGCUCAAGCUCCCGAUUAGCCCAAAUGAGCACAUGAUAAUAACAACGUUAACCUUCACGGCUAACACCAUCACCAUCACGGUUAAACCACAUUAAUCAUCACGAUCAAUGUGUCAGAUUUUCAUAAGUUAUUUCCCAUAACCAUCCACACCCAACUAUUCCGUAAGGGUCCAAGGCCGCUCAUGUCCGAGAGCACGGCUAGUAUACCAGUUUGAUCAAACUCUGCGCAGAGGUGUGCACUUUUCCCGUAAGUCGUGUUACCCAUAUGCCCGGGGUUUGCAAGACCCACUAACACUGCCAAGGUGAGCGGGCAAGGAACACUAUGAAGCCUUCCAUAGGCCACGUCUAACCAGCUAGGGCCGCGAGGUUUCCUCGACAGGCAGAUAUAGAGAACUCCCCUUUCCUAUGGCACAUUUCCAUCACGGCUAUACACAUAGGAACAGAAGCAAUUCUAUACCCAAAGUGGCAAGCCCCUCUUGCGCCCUUUCGGGUAGCCUCUAACCAGCUAGAUGAGAUCCUAUUACUGAGCUAAAGUUAGAGCCAUAUAACCAUCACGGUUGCACUGUAAGUCCCGGAUAGUCGCUUACAGAGAAGUCCUUAAGGAGGGUCUAGGUCAACUCGACCGAAGUCAAUUGCACCAUAGCCCUUUUUCCCAACAUUUAUCAUCAUACUCAUUAAAGUCAGAGUGAUAGUAAAUUCUUAAUUAAUUAAAGCACUAGCAAAGCUACCCACAUGCAUUCUACCCAUAGGUGUCAUAAAUAUAUAGUCAGGUAGCUAGGAUGUCCUUAGGGUUACCAAAUUAGACACAUGCAGAUGCGUAAUUAAUUAAGUGAAUAGGUGUACAAGGGAAACCCAUGUUAUACUUGCCUUCAGUGAAGGGGAACUGCUGCUGGUCCUGCUGCUCCUCGUAGUAAAAUGGAUCACCCACGGACACGUCACCGUCUGCGCUCGAUCGGUACCACACAACAACACGCAUCCAGGUUCAUUCAUACAAGCAAACAAUCAUUUAAUUAGAACAGUACACCAACAGAUCAAAAUGAAAUAAAAUACUUAAAAACAGAACCUACGAUUCGCUACGAUCACAUUGGUACGAAGAUCACGAAAAUUGGAGCUAAAACGACCAAGUUACGACUUUCCGGCGAUUUCCUAUAGGCAUUUAAUUAAUUAAACCUAACCCUGAAAAUAAAAAGUUGCAAACUACAGAAACAGUGGUACUAUCAUGUAGAGAAUUUAAUUACGAAUCUAACGCAAUUUGAACGGGUCAAAUCGGAGCUAUAACGAAUAUUUUAUGACCAAAACAAGUUCAGUGGCAAUUCUGUAAUUUCCUGAAAGCGUAUUUUGACCUAACCGACGGAUAAUACGUUUUCUAAAAGAGAAAACGUAUUUUACUCGAAGGCGCUAAGGACUGCGGCCGAAUUUGGAAAACUGGGAGGGGCUCUUUAAACAAAUUUUCCCCCGAAGGGGUAUUGGGCGUCUCUGGCCGUCCGAUUUGAAAUGGACGGCCAGGAUUAGAUCCUGAGGGGGGGGGAAAGGGGAGAGGAGAGGGGCCGGCCGCCGGAGGGGAAGGGGACGGCGGCGGCGCCGCCAUGGCCGACGAGGCGGAGGUCACCGGAGAAGUUCACGAGAGGGCUACAGGCCGCGGUUUUCUGAUCCGAAAGCUUCUAGAGAAAGAGGAGGUUGAGGGGAACUCGGUCCCGGCCUCGGCGCGACCGGGGAGAGCCCGCGCGGCCCGCUCCAUGGCCGGCGGCCAUGGAGCUCGCCGGAGCUCGCGGAAAGCGGCCCUAGAGAGCACUGCAACGCUCGGGAGAAAGCCGAAAAGGUAGAGGAGGACGAGGCGCGCUCACCAACGCGAAGAAGGAGGACGAAAACGGCUCGGACGGCGGACUUCGAUCGGAGGUCGCGGCGGCGGCUUCUCUCUGCGCGAGUACGGAUGGAAACAGAAACGAGGAGAGGAAAACUGGCGAGGAGAAGAGGACGCGCGGCUCGCAGUCCACUACUUAUCCAAGCGCGGGGAAGAGGGGAGGAGUCGUGGGGAGCGGGGGCGCGGGCUUGCGGCCGGACGGUUUCCAAACCGAGAGAGAGAGGAAAGAGCGGGGCGUCGGUUGGGAGAAGAGGGAGCUGACAGGCGGGCCCGGCCUGUCAGCGGGGGAGAGAGAGGGGAAGGGGGGAGGGCGGCUGGGCCGCGGCCCAGGAAGGAGAUGGGCGCGCGGGGGGGGGGGGGGGGUUUGGACCGAAAGGCCGAAAUGGAGAGAAUGGGGAGAAAGAAAUUCCUUUUCCUUUUCUUUUUCUCAAACAAAUUUUCAAUGCAUUUCCCAAAUGGAUUUUUAAUCAAUUUGACAUUUGUUUUCAAGACACUCAUCACAUAAAAGAAUGCUCCAGCAUGAAUGCAACAUAAAGUUUUCUCUAAGCUUAUAUUAAAUUUUAAUUUCUCCAAAUUUAUUUAUUUUCCUAUAGUGAAAAAUGCUCACAAAAUAAAUUCAUUUAAAUUCAUUUCAUCUAUUUAAAAGAAACAAAAUUUUUGGGUGUUACAAUUCUACCCCCCUUAAAAAUAAUCUCGUCCUCGAGAUUGAGAUGGUGCUUACUCAAAGAGAUACGGAUAAGAUUGUCUCAGCUCAUCUUCUCUUUCCCAAGUGGCUUCUUCUUCUUUAUAUCGGUGCCACUGCACUUUGCACAUCUUUAUAACCCGACUCCGGGUGACUCUUUCCGCCGUUUCUAAGAUCUUGACUGGAUAUUCCUCAUAAGUUAGAUCUCCUUCAACUGUGAGUUCCUCCAAUGGAAUUUGUUCCUCAGGCACUCGCAAACAUUUCUUCAGUUGCGACACAUGGAACACAUCAUGAAUACCCGACAUACUCGCAAGCAACUCUAACUGAUAGGCCACUUCUCCACGUCUCCUAAGAAUUCUGAACGGUCCAACGUACCUCGGUGCCAAUUUUCCCUUCAUAUUAAACCUCCUGACACUUCUCAUAGGUGACACCUUCAAAUACACAUAGUCGCCUAUCUCGAAUGCCAAUUCUCUUCUUCUAGUAUCAGCAUAACUCUUUUGCCGAGACUGGGCUACUCUCAAGUUGUCCCGUAUUUUCCACACUUUUUCCUCUGCAUCUCUAAGAACAUCAGGUCCAAAUACUUGACUCUCACCAGUCUGAUUCCAAAACAGAGGUGUUCUACAUUUCCGCCCAUACAAUGCUUCAAACGGUGCCAUAUCGAGACUUUUCUAGUAACUAUUAUUAUAUGAGAAUUCAGCAUAUGGUAAACUAGUGUCCCAACCGGUACCAUACUGUAAUGCACACGCUCUCAACAUGUCUUCUAGAAUCUGAUUUACUCUUUCAGUCUGCCCAUCAGUUUGGGGAUGAUACGCGGAGCUAAAGUUCAACUUUGUUCCCAAUGAUUCAUGUACUUUAUGCCAAAACUGAGAUGUGAACUGUGUACCCCGAUCAGACACGAUCUUCUUCGGAACUCCGUGCAGACUCACGAUUCUAUCCAUAUAUAACUUUGCCAACUUUGCACCAUCAUAGUUGGUCUUAACGGGCAAAAAGUGAGCAACUUUAGUGAGUCGAUCCACUAUUACCCAAAUUGAAUCAUACCCACGCUGAGUGCGGGGCAAUCCAGUGAUGAAAUCCAUACCUACUUCUUCCCAUUUCCAUUCGGGCACUUGCAUUGGCUGCAACAACCCUGCAGGUCUUUGGUGCUCGGCUUUCACCCUCUGACAAGUAUCACAUAACGCUACAUACUCUGCCACAUCUCUCUUUAAUCCAUACCACCAAUAUUUUUUUUAAGAUCUAGAUACAUCUUGGUGCUUCUGGGGUGAAUUGAAUAUGCAGAGUCAUGUGCUUCCCGCAGGAUUGCAUCUCGGAUGGAUUUUACUUCGGGCACACAUAUUCUCUUCCCAAACCAUAGUGUACCAUUUUCAUCUAACCUGAAACCCGGUGCUUUUCCAAGCACUACAUUCUCUGAAAUUUCUUUUAACUUCCCAUCCUCCAACUGACCUUUGCGGAUUUCUUGCUCUAGGGUGGGCUCUAACUCCAAUUCAACAGUGUUGUUCACUAAACCCAAAUUGAGAUGCGCUAUUUCAGCUAGCAACUCUGUGGGAAUGAAGGUCAAUUGCAAUCCAUUGGCAUAACUCUUUCGGCUAAGUGCAUCGGCAACAACGUUUGCCUUCUCGGGAUGGUAAUGCACUUCCAGGUCAUAAUCCUUUAUUAGUUCUAGCCAGCGGCGUUGCCUUAAGUUCAGGUCUGACUGUGUGAAAAUAUACUUCAAACUUUUGUGAUCCGUAUAAAUAUCACACUUGUGUCCAAUUAGAUAAUGCCUCCAAAUCUUUAGAGCAUGAACCACGGCAGCUAGCUCCAAAUCAUGAGUAGGAUAGUUCAGCUCAUGUUUUCUCAACUGCCUGGAUGCAUAGGCCACUACUCUUCCUUAUUCCAUAAGCACACAUCCAAGGCCUAGGCGAGAUGCAUCGCAAUAAAUAGAGAAGGUUUUGCUCAGAUCUGGCAAGAUCAACACUGGAGCUGUGGUCAACCUUUUCUUUAGCUCCUCAAAAUUCUCUUGGCACUUAUCUGACCAAAUAAAUUUGGCACUCUUCUCUAGUAGGGCUGUCAUGGGCUUUGCUAACUUAGAGAAGCCUUCAAUAAAUCUUCUAUAAUAACCAGCUAGUCCCAAAAAGCUACGGAUCUCACUAGCAUUGGUUGGAGGUUUCCAAUUUAGCACGUCCCGCACUUUGCUGGGGUCUACGGCUAUUCCACCAUUGGAUACCACAUGUCCCAAAAAUGAGACCUCAUUCAACCAAAACUCACACUUGCUUUUCUUGGCAUACAAUUUAUUCUCUCUAAGCUUUUGCAAGACCAGCCUCAAAUGUUCAGCAUGUUCUUCUUUGGUUUUGGAGAAGAUUAAUAUAUCAUCAAUGAAUACUACCACGAACUUAUCCAAAUACUCCAUGAACACCUUGUUCAUCAUAUACAUGAAGUGUGCAGGUGCAUUGGUCAACCCAAAUGACAUGACUGUAUACUCAUACAAGCCAUACCUUGUGGUAAAAGCUGUCUUAGGUAUGUCAGUUGCACGGAUUUUCAACUGGUGAUAGCCAGAUCGGAGGUCAAUUUUGGAGAACACACAUGCUCCUUUUAGUUGGUCAAAUAAGUCAUCUAUUCUAGGCAGUGGGUACUUGUUUUUAAUAGUGACUUCAUUUAAUGACCGAUAAUCCACACACAUCCUUCUAGUGCCAUCUUUCUUAUCAACAAAGAUUACCGGUGCACCCCAUGGUGAAGAACUAGGACGAAUAAACCCUUUUUCUUGCAAUUCCUUAAGCUGUUUCUUAAGUUCCUCUAAUUCAUUUACCCCCAUUCUAUAUGGUCUUUUUGCUAUGGGUGCAGUUCCGGGUAAAAGCUCAAUAAGAAAUUCAAUGUCUCGGUCUGGUGGCAUACCUGGCAACUCAUCCGGGAAAACAUCGGGGAACUCGUCCACCACCUGGUCUUCUUGAUUACCACCACUCAACUGAUUCACUGUAGCAGUCGGCUGAGGCUGCACUGCCACAUCCACACUUAUUCUAUCCCCACCUGGUGAUGUCACCACCACAGCCCUCUCCUGACACUGUAUUACUGCCCCAUGCUGCUUCAUCCAAUCCAUACCAAGUAUGUGGUCAAUUCCCAUGGUUCUUAGCACAAUAGGUUUCACCUUGAAAUCUACCCCCCUUAGAGAUAUACUAGUGGAGGGGCUCCAGUAAUUAGCUGGCAUGGUGCCUCCCGGUGAAUUUACUAGCAUGGAAUUUUUCAGUGCACAAAGUGGGAUGCUAUGCACUCUAACAAAAGCUUGGGAGAUAAAAGAAUGUGAAGCACCAGAAUCAAACAGUACUGUAGCGGGGAUGGAGUUGAUGUUGAACGUACCCAUCAUAACCUCAGGUGCUUCCUGAGCUGUGUCAGCGGACACAUGGUUCACUUUCCCAGAGAACAGAGGUCGAGCAGGCCUCUGAUUGUUGUUCUGGUUUUGCUGGGCUGGUGGAUUCUGCUUCUUGGGGCACUGGUAGGCAUAGUGUCCCACCUCUCCGUAGCGGUAACAGGCAUUGGGAUUGCCGCUGGGUGCUGCACUCUUGCCAGGAGCAUUAUUGGGCACUCCUUGGCGUGGUGCCUGAUUGCUGACCUGUUGCUGGGGGCGCUGCUCACUCUGAUUGCCAUACUGCUGUUGGGGGCGUUGUUGGUUUUGGUGAUUGUGCUGCUGGUAGUACUGGGGACGCUGAGGAAACUGACCACGGUUCCACUGAUUCUGUGGUCCUUGACUGCGCUGAGGGAAUCCCUGCUGAGGGUACGCACGUGGGCGAGUGUUGCUGCCCGACGGCUGCCCCUGGAGCUUUCUCUUCUUUGCAUCUAUCUCCUUGCGCUUGUUGUCGAUGACAAUAGCGCGGUUCACCAAUUCUUGGAAGCAAGGGUAGGUGUUGCUCAUCAGCUGCAGCUGCAGUCCAUCAUACAGACCCUUCAGGAAGAGACGCUGCUUGUCAGAGUCCCUGGCCACCUCAUAUGGAGCAUAUCGUGACAGUUGUGCAAACUUUUCACGAUACUCACUGACUGACAUCGAUCCCUGCUUGAGAGACCGAAACUCUUCUGCUUUUAGUUCUAUCAGGCCCUCUGGAAUAUGAUGGGACCUGAACCCUUCCGUAAACUCCUUCCAGGUGACUGGCGGAGCAUUGUUCGGGCGUCCAUAUUGAUAGACUCCCACCACUCCUGUGCAGGUCCUUGCAGCUGGCCUGAUGCGUACAACACUUUCUCCAAGUCGCUACAUUGGGCAAUGUUCAGCUGCUUCUCGACUGCUUUUAACCAGUCGUCUGCCUCCAGUGGAUCAGAGGCAUGGGUGAACACCGGAGGACGUCCUUUCAAGAACUCCCCUCGCUUGUCACGGACUUGAACCGGCGGUGGUGCUGCUACUGGUUCAUUGUUCAUACGGUUCAUCAUGGCUUGCAUCAGAUUAGCUUGCAUACCCAUGAGCUGCUCGAUAGUCAUCGGCGGCGGUGGUGGUGGUGGAUUCUCAGGUACACCACGUCCACGGCCACGACCACGGCCACGGCCACGUCCACGACCAGCGGCUGCACCUUCGGCGUCCAUCUGCUUCCAACAAAGAUUCACGGCUUUUAGUGAUCUUCCAAAAAAAUAAUUAUUCAUCGCUUAUAAUGAAUAAAAACAAGUCUAGCAGUUUUCUGGACAAGUUUCAAACUCAGCAGGUCAGUAAUCUGUGCUUAUCUCAGAAUCUAUAGAUUCAAAAGUUACAUGGUAUACAUCGUUGGAAAGGUUAGGAAAUUCUCUACAAACUUUAUUCAGACCACAUUUACUGAUUCCAACAGUAACAUAAUCAAAAUUCUGAUUCAUCAGGUUCUGCUCUGGUUCUCAGUCUGCGCAGGUACAGCAGAUUAAAACGGACAUAUCUCAUAGAUCCGAACAGAUAAUGAGGUGAUUCCAGUUGGAGAUGAAAGAUAUACCAGUCUAGUUUUCACCAUAAAAAUUUCGUAAUUUUUGACUGAACCAAUAAUGAGAUACUGAAUAAACAUCCCAGACCGCUCCAGAAACAGCAUGACUGAGACAGAUAAAGUAACCCAACCUCGAAUUUAAACAACAUUUACUUCUAGAAUUAAGGUUUAGAAACAUGCUGACAGGCCCACAUGUUUCCACAAUCAAACAAAACUCCAAAUCAUAAAUGUUCAUCAACACAAACAGCAACUCACUAAAGCUCACAUGCCACACAUUACCGAAAUACUCGUGCUAGCGUCAAUCUAGAAAGUACUGGGAAAUCUAAGGAGCUCUAUCUUGGAGAACGAACUUGCGGGGCUUCUUCUUGUAAAUGGGUGGCUGUCCAAGCUGACCACGCAGCUCAUCCACCUGACGCUGGAGGCGCUUCCCCGCCUGCUGAGCAACACGCAGCUCCUGUCUCAGUGCCCCAUUCAUCUCCUGAAUGGCACUGACGUGUCUCACAGUCGUAUCCAGGGUAGGGUCGCCGGCAGGAGGUGCCAGGACAUGCCAUGUCUUGCCAUCUGGGUCGUUGCGGGGAAGGAACCGGUACCUGUCCUCCUGCAUGGCCUCAAAACGGCGGCCAUGGUAGUGAAAGUACGCGGCCUGAGCUGCAUCCUCCAUGCUCUCGUAGGCGGAAGCACGUCUAACCAUGCUCUCGUGGAUGGACUCCACCUCGUCCGAGUUGUCGACGUUGUUUCGAGCUGUGAUGAUCACCUCGGCCUUCCAGUAGGUGUUCUCCAACUGGUGCUUGUGCUCCGAGCAAAGGUAGCGGACGGUGGCGGCAAACUCCGGGUAAUAGCUCGCCAACACACCCGUGAGCAGAGUGUGGUAGUGAGCGUCCUCGUCCGCCUCCAUGAACUUGUUCCUGGAGGUCCAUCCCAUCUCCGGAACAACCUGAGGCUACUGAGGCGUCGGUGCUGAACCCGUCGACGCGUGGGGUGCAGGCGAAGGUGGUGCAGGUGCAGGUGGUGCAGGUGCAGGUGGUGCAGGCGCAGGUGGAACUGGAGCGGCAGCCUGCGGAAUCGGUACCGCCACUGGUGUAGGAGCUGAAGGUGUAGGCGUAGGGGACCCCGUGUCCAUAGGCGACGACCUCGGGCUCUGGUACAGGUACUGGUGCUGGCACAGGUGCAGGUACUGGAGCUGGUGCUGGUGCAACUGGUGGAGCACGGGCGGCGACGAAGAGGGCGCGAUACGCGGCUGCGCUGCGACGAGGCAUCUAUAAAUUUUGUUUUAAGAAUUAGAAUCGAUAUGUUUAUAUAAAUAGAACAUUGGGUAAGAAUAUAAACUUUUAAUAAAAUAACAAGAAAGUAAAGUGAGCAGUGAAAUAAAUAAAGCGAAAAUAAAAACCCUAAAAUCGACUGUUUCUACCUAGGUUUGCGUCCUACAGUCAGCCUUGCUUUGAUACCAAUUUGUCACACCCAAAUUUAAGGAUAAAUUUGAGUACAAUAAUCUCAUGUGCGCCCCAGAAAUAGUCGCGCACACAAGUCGACAAAUUACAAAUGUAUCAUCACAAGUGUCUUACAAAACGUUAUUACAACACAAAUAUAUCAAAGUCUGCGACAAACGGAAAAUAAACUCAUAACUAACUAUGGUAAGAUAACUCCAACACAGGGACGACCGACUGGGGAAUCGCCAACCUAGAAGUCCUCAGGGAAUUCCUCAUAGUAGCUGUCAUCUGUUACCCAUCCGGGAUUUUGUCCAAAAAGAAAGAUAAAGACAAGCGUGAGUACAUCUAGUACUCCGCAAGCAUAACAUAGGAUAUUAUGCGGCUCAAAGAGGUCAGACACUGGCUACUGCAGUUAGCAUUUUAAUUGGUCAAUAUUUUAAUCCUAUUUAAUCAUCAAUUAUGCUUAAGCUCCCGAUUAGCCCAAAUGAGCACAUGAUAAUAACAACGUUAACCUUCACGGCUAACACCAUCACCAUCACGGUUAAACCACAUUAAUCAUCACGAUCAAUGUGUCAGAUUUUCAUAAGUUAUUUCCCAUAACCAUCCACACCCAACUAUUCCGUAAGGGUCCAAGGCCGCUCAUGUCCGAGAGCACGGCUAGUAUACCAGUUUGAUCAAACUCUGCGCAAAGGUGUGCACUUUUCCUGUAAGUCGUGUUACCCAUAUGCCCGGGGUUUGCAAGACCCACUAACACUGCCAAGGUGAGCGGGCAAGGAACACUAUGAAGCCUUCCAUAGGCCACGUCUAACCAGCUAGGGCCGCGAGGUUUCCUCGGCAGGCAGAUAUAGAGAACUCCCCUUUCCUAUGGCACAUUUCCAUCACGGCUAUACACAUAGGAACAGAAGCAGUUCUAUACCCAAAGUGGCAAGCCCCUCUUGCGCCCUUUCGGGUAGCCUCUAACCAGCUAGAUGAGAUCCUAUUACUGAGCUAAAGUUAGAGCCAUAUAACCAUCACGGUUGCACUGUAAGUCCCGGAUAGUCGCUUACAGAGAAGUCCUUAAGGAGGGUCUAGGUCAACUCGACCGAAGUCAAUUGCACCAUAGCCCUUUUCCCAACAUUUAUCAUCAUACUCAUUAAAGUCAGAGUGAUAGUAAAUUCUCAAUUAAUUAAAGCACUAGCAAAGCUACCCACAUGCAUUCUACCCAUAGGUGUCAUAAAUAUAUAGUCAGGUAGCUAGGAUGUCCUUAGGGUUACCAAAUUAGACACAUGCAGAUGCGUAAUUAAUUAAGUGAAUAGGUGUACAAGGGAAACCCAUGUUAUACUUGCCUUCAGUGAAGGGGAACUGCUGCUGGUCCUGCUGCUCCUCGUAGUAAAAUGGAUCACCCACGAACACGUCACCGUCUGCGCUCGAUCGGUACCACACAACAACACGCAUCCAGGUUCAUUCAUACAAGCAAACAAUCAUUUAAUUAGAAUAGUACACCAACAGAUCAAAAUGAAAUAAAAUACUUAAAAACAGAACCUAUGAUUCACUACGAUCACAUUGGUACGAAGAUCACGAAAAUCGGAGCUAAAACGACCAAGUUACGACUUUCCGGCGAUUUCCUAUAGGCAAUUAAUUAAUUAAACCUAACCCUGAAAAUAAAAAGUUUCAAACUACAGAAACAGUGGUACUAUCAUGUAGAGAAUUUAAUUACAAAUCUAACGCAAUUUGAACGGGUCAAAUCGGAGCUAUAACGAAUAUUUUAUGACCAAAACAAGUUCAGUGGCAAUUCUGUAAUUUCCUGAAAGCGUAUUUUGACCUAACCGACGGAUAAUACGUUUUCUAAAAGAGAAAACGUAUUUUACUCGAUGGCGCUAAGGACUGCGGCCGAAUUUGGAAAACUGGGAGGGGCUCUUUAAACAAAUUUUCCCCCGAAGGGGUAUUGGGCGUCUCUGGCCGUCCGAUUUGAAAUGGACGGCCAGGAUUAGAUCCUGAGGGGGGGGGGAAAGGGGAGAGGAGAGGGGCCGGCCGCCGGAGGGGAAGGGGACGGCGGCGGCGCCGCCAUGGCCGACGAGGCGGAGGUCGCCGAAGAAGUUCGCGAGAGGGCUACAGGCCGUGGUUUUCUGAUCCGAAAGCUUCUAGAGAAAGAGGAGGUUGAGGGGAACUCGCUCCCGGCCUCGGCGCGACCGGGGAGAGCCCGCGCGGCCCGCUCCAUGGCCGGCGGCCAUGGAGCUCGCCGGAGCUCACGGAAACCGGCCCUAGAGAGCACUGCAACGCUCGGGAGAAAGCCGAAAAGGUAGAGGAGGACGAGGCGCGCUCACCGACACGAAGAAGGAGGACGAAAACGGCUCGGACGGCGGACUUCGAUCGGAGGUCGCGGCGGCGGCUUCUCUCUGCGCGAGUACGGACGGAAACAGAAACGAGGAGAGGAAAACUGGCGAGGAGAAGAGGACGCGCGGCUCGCAGUCCACUACUUAUCCAAGCGCGGGGAAGAGGGGAGGAGUCGUGGGGAGCGGGGGCGCGGGCUUGCGGCCGGACGGUUUCCAAACCGAGAGAGAGAGAGGAAAGAGCGGGGCGUCGGUUGGGAGAAGAGGGAGCUGACAGGCGGGCCCGGCCUGUCAGCGGGGGAGAGAGAGGGGAAGGGGGGAGGGCGGCUGGGCCGCGGCCCAGGAAGGAGAUGGGCGCGCGGGGGGGGGGGGGGGUUUGGACCGAAAGGCCGAAAUGGAGAGAAAGGGGAGAAAGAAAUUCCUUUUCCUUUUCUUUUUCUCAAACAAAUUUUCAAUGCAUUUACCAAAUGGAUUUUUAAUCAAUUUGACAUUUGUUUUCAAGACACUCAUCACAUAAAAGAAUGCUCCAGCAUGAAUGCAACAUAAAGUUUUCUCUAAGCUUAUAUUAAAUUUUAAUUUCUCCAAAUUUAUUUAUUUUCCUAUAGUGAAAAAUGCUCACAAAAUAAAUUCAUUUAAAUUCAUUUCAUAUAUUUAAAAGAAACAAAAUUUUUGGGUGUUACAGUGACAUUUCCGAGUUACCUUUGUAUCCCAUAUCUUGUUAGCAGGACGGGUAGGUUUAUAGGUGCGGGUCGAACAUCCUUUGUGGUGUCUAGAUUCCGUAAGCCUCCCCAAUAGAACAGUAGAUCAUCCUUACUAAGGUUAGAACGAGACUACGGUUGCAGUCUUCUCUAUACAUCACUCACAUCGAGAAACAUUCUUUGUAGCCUAAAGGGAUAGUAGCAAUAGAUUUGGUUAGUCAGAUGCACCCUUUCUCCCAGUGGUAAAAAUAUAAAUACGAUACUCUGGAAAACCUUCCGGGUGAAAUGCUCACCGAUAUCCGUGCGCUUGCGGAUCAUUUCCUUAUUGCGUUACCCAAUAUCAACAAGCAUUUCUGGCGCCGUUGCCGGGGAGAAAGACGGUUUGCUGAGAUAACUUUGAGUCUUGCUAUUAUCUUGUAUUAUACUUUUAUUCUUUUAUUCUUUUAUCUUUUUAUUUUUUCUAUCUUUAUGGAUAACUUAAAUUCCAUACCUAUUAUUGAACUCUUUGCACCUUCGGAGACCAGCCAUAGACCAUGGGAGUCAACAAGUCCUGCCCCUAAUUAUGAUUUGUGUUCGGAGUUGAUUGCAAUAGGUCAAAACCAACCCUUUUCUAUAGCCGAGGUCCUAUCUUUUAAUCAAGAAGAUAAUGCACUUUUAGCUACACCUAGGGAAUCUGUUAAUGUUUUUAUAAAUUCUGGUUUAGACCUAGCCCUACAAGACCAUGUUUUUCCUAAAUAUUUUCACAUUGGUCUUAAUCAUAUAACCUUUGGUAGAGUCCUUCUUUCUUUAUCUAUUAGUAAAGGAAGGUAUGUCUUCAUUCGUGGACAUCCUUCUUGUACUAGUCUUCAUAGAAAAAUCCUAGAGAUAGAGAAGGAAUCAUCUCCCAGACAAGGAAAUGAAGUUUCCAUAGCCGAUUUCCAAACAUUCCAAUCCCAUGAUUCGGCUAUCCAACCCAUCCUUGAGCUUAAUAAUUUCUACUACGCUCUUUCUCUUGAACCUCCCGAUAAUCCUAUGAAUCUCUCUAGACAUCCCAUGUAUAAGAGUCACCAAGACCACAAGGAGGAUCGAGAAGAGCAACAUCAAUGGCUAGAGGGCAUUAAAAAUCCAUGUGCUAUCACCAUUGAAUGGAUGGAUAAAACAAACUUGAGAGACAAUCCUAGAGGAAUUUUAAGCAUUCGUAAAGAAUCAUCCUUGGAGUUUGAGAAUGAGAGAAACAAUAGUGAGCAUGGAAGUUAUUUCAUAAAUACCUUACCAAGUCCUUGCUCAUAUAAAACAUCUCCCCAAUCAAUUGGUCUCUCCAUCCUUACCACAUUUGAGAUCUCCAACCCCCUCUUCCUUUCUAUUUAUAAAAACUUUAAAAGGGCGGUUGUCGAUGCAUAUGUCUAUAAUAAAUAUUGCAGAUCUCGUUGAGUUGAUCUUGAUAUAGGUCAGCGUCGGAGGGGAAACCACUUCACCAACAUAACUUGAUGGUUUUCCAAGGAUAAGCUUAGCGUCCUUAAACAAGCACUUAUCAGAUUGUAACAUGAACUUUUAAUUAUUUGCAACAUUGCCUUGUGUAUUGAGCAUAUUGAGAUAAUUGUAGAAAUAUUCCUUCAGGUAUUCUUGCCACUAACCUUUUUAGGAUUGGAGCAAGAAGAUCGGAUGAAUGACAAGCACAAGGUAUGUCCAACCAACCAUCAUACAACAUUGAAUUAAAUUCAUCCAAAACUUGAAUUUCGCAAAAAUUCAAGCUUGGGGGAGUACUUUACAUAAAAACAUCCUUUGCCAUGUUGCUAUGUUGGUUGUCCUUACCUUUGAGACAUGCUCAAUUUGUUAAAUACUAAUCACACUACUUCAUCUCCACUUGAGUAGAUCUCUAUAAAUGCUGUCAUGCUACCUUUGUCUAUUUACUAGCAAGUGUUGGUUUGGAAGUACUCGACAUACUUCCAUUGGCAUUUAAAUUAAGCAUGGUGCUUAGGUUAAAUAGGCUUCCUUAAUCUGAUUAGACAUGGAGUCUAGUUUGGUUACUGAACUAAAAACUGCUUGAGUAGAUAUUGGUAUAUUUUGUGGGACUAACCCCUGCAGGAAAACUUUCAAUAUCAAUCUGGGAAGUCCUAAGAUAAACUCACAUUGGAGAUGAAGAAAGUGACACAUGAAGUUUAACAAUUUGCACAAGAAAGACGUAGCUCAUAAGAGAUGAUUCAUGGAGGGUGCCACAAACACAAUGCACAACCGCUAAGAAAGGAAAGAUUCCACAAGGUGAUACUAUACCAUCACUCUUCAAGUACACUUCGAGCAAAACCUGAAGGAGUUUUACAACUCCCAGACUCCACCAAGUGAAGGACCUAGAUCUACAAGCACAAACACACUGAGCAGGAUAUUGCCAACACCGCACUUCGAACUGCUAGACAAACAAAGAACAGAGGUGACACCGUAUCAAGAGGUGCAGAUGUCUAGGUCCACACCUAAUCAAAUGAUGCACCUAAAGGAUGAAGACGGUGAGAAGUCUUGUCCAGAAGACAUAAAACAUUGGAUCCUUGUCGGAGGAGGUCAAGAUCGUCGACUCAAGUUGCCUUUCCUCAUCAAGAAGGAGGACUCUGGUGUUACAAGCAUCAAGUGCACAAUCAAUGGAUACUCUUUUCAGAAGACACUCUACGACACAGGAUCUGACGUCAACAUAAUGGCCGCAGUCACUUAUCAGCUCCUGCAUGGAACCAUGCCUCUACAACCAACAUACAUUCAGCUCCAGAUGACAGAUCAGACAUUCCGAAAGGUUGAAGGUCAUUGAUAUGGGAGAAGACGAGUACGAUCCACACAUCAUCCUUGGAAGACCGUUCCUCAAACACUAUCAAAGCCAUCAUCUAUAUUGGAACCGGAGAAGUCCACAUGCACUUCCCCUCUGAGAAGGUACGCCACUAUUUUACUGACCCUAACUAUAUAGUUGAAAACUCUAAGCAGGUUAGGACAAGAAGAAGACGACGCAACCGCAACCAGAGGAGGUAAAUUAUCAAGAACGGAUGGGUAGCUACGAAGGAGAAGUGAUAAGGACUGAAGACAUACAACUUGAACAGAACUGUCCUGAGCAGACCGUAGCACCGAGUCAGGUGUGGAGAGAGAAGAUAGUUAUAUACGAAGAGAAGGCGCCGCCGGAAUCACCGACUACGCCAUCCAGCGAAUCCCAGGACGACUGAGAAAAACAGAGAGUCCCGUUCGGAGGACUUAAAAACAUCGAACGCCUUGCCAAGAGGUAAACUUGGUAGUUAUCCUUUUCCAUUCAAUAGUUUGCUUAGUUAAUCAGGUUCAUGCUAUCUUGAAAAGAAAAUAAAAAUGUUAAAAAAAUAGUAAGCCCCAUGUGAGUAUGCUCAUGGCAUAAAACCCAUAGGUACAUUCACUGUGGUGGCAUAAAAUAAAUAUGUUUUAAUCUUACAAUAAAAAUAUAAAAAUAAUAAGUGCAUGAUCCUGCUAAAUAAAUAACAUUUAUUGAGGAGGCUCAAUAUGAUAAAGGCUAGAUAUUUAUGCUAACACUUAACCAGUUCCACAAAGCUUUGUUGUCUAUUUGAGCUCCACAGAAUUCAAGGAUCAAAGAAGACUAGCAGACGGAGGACAUCCUAAUUACUGUCAGGGUGCUGCUGACGUUCAAAUACACCUCCACCACCUGCUAGCUACAUGAGAAGAAAUUACGUUAAAAUCCAGCUUGGGGGAGAGCACCCCCAUUUAUCCAGCUAAGUGUUUCUACUCGCGUUUAUACUUUACUCAAAUAAUAAAGAGAUGCAUAAUCAUAAAAAACCCAAAUAAAGAUUUUGUGCUUUUAUAUAUAUAUCUUUGCUUAGUUUGCUAAAUAAAUAAAUAAAUAAAGUUUGCUAUCAACCCUCAUGAUAAACUCUCACAUGGAAAUGAUGAAUAGUUGCUCUGCCAUGACUAGUUCUUAAAAUUAAAAUCUCUCUCAAGUUUAGGCAUGACUGUUAUGAAGUAAUAUUUGCUCUAAAUCUGAACUUGUGGGAAGAGUACUUGAUCUAAAGUCUAAGUUGUUAACGGAUAUGAUAUGGGAAGGUUGAGCUGUUGUUUAUCUGUUCCUAGAUAUGCUAGAAUUCUGGAGAAUUUUAUCUUUGAAAAAAUCUUUAAAAUAUCACAUGAUGAGUUCCUGUAUGAUGAGAGUUUAAAUUCCUACCACAGCCAUAUAUACAUGCUUAUUAGACUUUGAGCCACACAUUUACUUUUUACUGCUUAUGAGCAUUGAGUGUGGUCAAGCUGUGUAGACCCUUAGGAGCUUAUCAUGUGGUUAAAAUCAAGAUUCACUUGCACGUUCACUGAUACAUGCUACUUCUACUCCGGAAGUACCAUCCACAUAUAUCCACUCAUUUCCAUUUUCAAAACCACCCAAAAGUAUUCUACUCCUAUCCGGGAGAGAAUAGCCAAAAAUAUUUUCCUAUCCCUGUUAUUCCCUGUGAAAUAAAUGCUCCAGUUAUUUUGGUUACUACCACUUGCUACAUUCUUUCAGGAGAUGAGUGCUCUAAAAAAAAGAAAAAAAAGGAAAAAAAUAAUAAUACAAGGAAAUAAAAAGGGGCAAGUGCCCGGAACCUCGAAGAAAAGAAAAAGUGAGACGAGAGGUAAAAAUGGACAAGUGUCCGACAGUAGAAUUAGGGGUACAAGAUACCCACCUGAGAGGAAAUAAAAAGAAAAUAUAGAGCAUCUCAUUCUCCUCAAAAAGCUUCAAAGUGCAAGAAAGGUAUGUAUCCCCUCAAAAGAGCAAAUUUAGAAUUAGACUUUCACCAUUAUUAUCACCAUCAUCACCAUACACCAUUCAUUCGCCACACAUGCACAUCUUGAUUUGACUUAUUGACUUGUUUCUCUUGAUCCAUGGUUUGACUAUGCAAUAAAUGUCAUGUAAGUAUGUAUUAGCUGUCUCCCACCUAUGAGCUCCAGAUAUCAAAACCUUAUUAGAGUAGGGAGAGAAAGCAAUAUCACUAUGCCUCAUACCACAAAUACUACAUACUUUGAGAGAAGGCAUAUACCAUUACUGCCUUGGUAAGGAUCCAGAAAUACCACAAAAGAGAGAUCUGAGAGAGUCAUAUAAGGAAUCUCUGAGUUUUAUUCGAAAAUCUGCAAAAACUCCAGAGCUAUAGCUGAUCAAGAAUAAGAGACAUGGCGCUUGACUUGACCGUUCUAUCUUUUAACUACUCAAGACACAAGUGACGGUUACAAGCCCCAUGGUGAAAGGUAAAAUGAGUAAGUUUUAAGUCUUAACAAUUUAUUCUAACUCAGAGAUGAGAUCUUGCUUGAAUGCGUGUGUACUUUUAAGGUAUGAAACCACUGUAGAAACUCUUGAGUUCAUCCUUGCUCAGGGACGAGCAAGAGGUAAGCUUGGGGGAGUUGUUGACGGUCCUUAAGUAUCAAAUUUAAUUAUCAAAUAAAUAAAGAAAAGGAUCCAAAUGAAAUCAACAUCUAGACUUAGGGUUUUAUCUGACAGAAUUCCACGAGUUUUGGUGUUUGUCUAUUUCUGCAGGGGGUUAUCAAGAAAUACGGAAGAAAGGCCCACAUGUCGGGAUUACAUAGAGAUAUUAACAUGCCGCGCAAUUAUCUUACAUCUAGAAGACUCUAGAAGCUACGAGACCGAAGCGGAGACGAAACGAGGCCAGAGGCAGGGCGCCCGCCCUGUUCCCCUAGGCGCCCGCCCCCUCCCUGAGUCCAAUCAGGACUCUGCUUCGUGGGAGAUCUCCACCGACCUAAAGGAUGAAUCUAAACCAUACAAUCUAUGUCAGUUUGAUCCAAUGGCCCAUAUUCACUUGAAGGGACUAUAAAACCAGACCCCCUGGCCCCUGGAGGAGAAAGCCUCUCAACCCUAAUUCAUUGUUCUUCAAGGGAGAAGAAGCCUCUGAUCAAGAUUAGAGCCACCACAUCAAUUAGACAUCUAGAUUAGCAUAGCUACAUAGGAUUAGAACUAGAAGGAGUCAAUCUUCGAUUGGUUUCCGGAUCUGUCAAGAGGAUUCUUGGUAAUUCUCUAAUUGUGCUUCUAAUUGCUUUCUAAUUAUCUUUGUUCUUCAAUAUUAUGAAUAUGACUUUGUUCUACUUCAAUAUAUUGCUUAUGACUUUGCUCUACUUGCUUAUAUUCAAGAUUAUAUUGUUCUUAGUUUAUCAUAGUUAUGUACUUGGCUUAGUUAGAUUGGAUCUAUAUACAUGCUUAGGAUCGUAUAGCGUUUAUCCAUCGGAUCCAUGGGUAAAUGAUAGAUAUUGUGUAGGCGUGGUGCUUAUACCGUAUUUAUCUGCGAUUGUACCCAAUAUGCCAGAUCGUGGGGUGGUUCGUGAUAGUGACAGCUUCAUUGAUUCUUAUAUAGUCCCCCUCUCGUGUAUUGGGCUGGCAGAGCAACAUUAUUACAGGGGAGUGAUUGCUAUGUUUCUCAUUUACCUUGCUAAUAUCACUAUGCAUGGGCGUAGUCUUGUCUCGCAAUGAUUGCUAAGUAUGCUUGCACUAAUUAUGAUAAUGCUAGACUAUAUAGUUGAGAAUAACUUAGGGAAUAUUCUUGUAGUUCGUUCUAAUACCAUGCUAAUGACUUUCUAGAGUAUCUAAUUGAGGUGCUUAUCAUAUUUAUUAUGUGGCUAGAUCAGACUAAUUAUCUUUGUCACUAUUCAUUACUUUAUAUAUCUUUUAUGUGACACUUAUCCCUGUAUGAAGAGUUAGAUAAAUGUUCUCAAUUAUACAUGCAAUGAUACAUACUCAAUCUCAUAUUCUAUUCUGUAAUCAAUAUUGAUGAUUGUUAAUCCCUUCCCAGUGGUAAAAAUAUAAAUAACGACACCUGGAAUACUUCCCGGUUAAAAUGCUGCAUCGGUAUUAAUCUGUGCGCUUGCAGAUCCCAUUCAUUAUUUAUUUAGAAGAGCAAUUGCAUAUUUCAAUAUCGCGUCUCUUAUAUCAUGCUGGGGAUGACAACUUGGCUUAAGUGGUGUGAGGGAUAGGUUUGGCAUUUUUGGCACCGUUACUAGAUUUAGAGAACUUAGUCUACUUUUGGUAAUGAUGUUAAGAAUACCCAAUAAGCAUUUUUGGCGCCGUUGCCGGGGAAGGUUCAUUACUAAUCGGGAAUGGAAUAAAGGAUUUUGAGUUAUCAUUCGCAUCACUAAUAUGAUUGAGCUUAUCUAUUCUCUCAUACAGUUUUACCCCGAUAUUUUUCUAUUUUAUCUUAUGCAGGGGAAUGUAUGAAUAGAAGACAUCUUCUAGGAAAUUUUGUUGACAAUCCCGAAGCAUUAUUCAAGAAGACGAGAGCCAAGCUCAAGAAGAGAUCAUCAACACUUCAGCAAGAAGCUUCAUCCAAUCAAGAAGAUCACCAGAACUUUUCUUCAGAGUUCGAAGCCAUGGCAAACAAAUCAAUCCGCGAGUUCUCAGCUCUCACUACGGACAACAUCCGCACUGGACCUGCUGCAGAGAUCGACGGCAACUUUGAGCUCAAGCCUGGACUUAUCAACAUGGUGCAAUCCAACCAGUUCUGUGGGAAGGCACACAAAGAUGCUAGUGCUCAUUUACAACACUUCCUGGAGAUUUGCAACACAUUCACCAUAUCAGGAGUUUCCAAAGAUGCUAUACUACUUCGCCUCUUCCCAUUCUCACUGUUAGGAAGAGCGAAGCAGUGGUUCUACGCUACAAAGGAGAAGAAUACUACGUGGGCACUCUGCUCAACAAACUUCUUGGCAAAGUUCUUUCCCAUGGGCAAGACCAAUGCUCUCCGUGGGAAGAUUAUAAGUUUUCAGCAACAAAAUGAUGAAUCUGUUCCAGAAGCAUGGGAGCGCUUCCAAGACUACAUCCUAGAGUGUCCCCAUCAUGGAAUGGAGAGUUGGCUACUGAUGCAGACGUUUUAUCAUGGGCUCGGCAACAGUGCCCGAGAGACCAUGGAUGCUGCAGCUGGAGGAGCAUUCUUAUCACUUACUAUACCACAAGCCACAGCUCUUGUGGAGAAGAUGGCGUCCAAUCAAAGCUGGAAUGAAGAGAGGACCCAGACACGCAAGAGAGGUGGAGGUAUGCAUCAGCUCAAGGAGGUAGACAUGCUGUCUGCAAAGCUAGACCUGCUCAUGAAGAAGCUCGAUGAUAGAGCUGGAGAUAAGAAGGAAGUUAUGCACAUCUACGACUCUCACAUGACUUGUGAGGAGUGUGGAGACACUGGACACUCAGGCAAUCACUGCCCUAAGAUGCUUGAGGAUGUGAACUACAUCAACGACAACAACAACAACUACUACAACUGUCCUCAACAAAAUCAAGGUUGGAAUCAACAGAGGCCUAACUACUCAGGUAAUUAUCAAGGUAACAAUUCUUUCAACAAUAAUAAUAAUUUUCCACCUUUGAGAGAGUUAGUGUCUAAUCAAGGAAAGCUAAUGGAUAACCUAUCUAAGAAAUUAGCAUCAAAUGAUAAAAUGCUAGAAAAUAUAAAUAAUAGAAUGGAUAAUUUCUCUACUGUCAUCAAGAAUCAAAUUAGCUUUAAUAAAAUGAUUGAAUCCCAGUUAAAUCAAAUAGCUGCUGCUGUUCCUACUACUAACCCCGGUAUACCAUCACAACCGGAAGGAUUAGAAUCUGCAAAUCUUGUAGACAUGUUUGAUGCAGGUAAUUGGAGUAACCCCGUCACUGAAUUCUCUACUGACCUUCUGCCGGUCAAGAGAGGAGAUCCAAGACGCCCCGACAUCCCGAUCUCCAUCGGCAUGGUGGACGUCCCAGAAGCACUCUGUGACUUUGGCUCUAGCGUCAACAUUAUACCCAGGGUACUCUAUGAAAAAUUCUUUACAUACCAUGUGUUUGCAGUUUGCAGAUCAGACGAUAACUUUUCCAAAAGAAAUAGUAAAGAACCUUUGUGUCCGAGUUUGUACCUUGUAUGCCCUAGCAGACUUCGUAGUGGUAGAGACCGGAAACAAUGAGAGAGCACCCAUCAUCUUAGGGAGGCCAUUCUUGAACACCACGGGAGCUAUCAUCUACGCUAGAGCUGCCAAGAUCAGUUUCUAAAUCAAAGGGAGGAAGGAGACAUUUUUAUUCAAGAACAAGACUAUACAAAUUCCAGAUCAAUCCAGACGUGAGUCAACGAAGAGGACCAACAGGAGGAACAAGAAUAAGCAAGUGUGGACCGAGUCAGCUAAGAUGGUCACUGUAGUUCAUGGAGGCCAAGAUCAACAACUUAAGUCACCGCUUUUGACCAAGAAGGACGCCCCAGGAAAGCCAAGCAUCUACUGCUCCAUAAAUGGAUACAACUUCUACAAGGCAACUUGUGACACCGGAUCGGGCGUCAACAUAAUGGCCGCAGUCACCUAUCGGCUCUUGUUCGGAACCAUGCCACUAAAACCAACAUACAUUCAGCUCCAGAUGGCAGAUCAGACAUUUCGAGAAGUUAAAGGAACAGUAACUGAUGUCCCAGUCAAAAUAGACGAUCACGUUGUCUACACAGACUUUCAAGUUAUUGACAUGGGAGAAGAUGAAUAUGAUCCACCCGUCAUCCUUGGAAGACCGUUCCUCAGCACCGUUAAAGCAAUUAUCUACAUUGGAACCGGAGAAGUCCAUAUGCACUUCCCCUCAGAGAAGGUACGCCGUUAUUUUACUGACCUUAACUAUAUCAUUGAAGAAUCUAAGCAGGUAAGAAAGCGACGCAACCGCAACCAGAGGAGGCAGAUCAUCAAGGACGGAUGGGCAGACUAUGAAGGAGAAGUGAUAAGGUCAGAAGACGUAGAGUUUAAACAGAAUUAUCCAGAGGAGAUUGAAGCACCGAGUCAGGUAUGGAAAAUGAAGAUAACUAUACAUGAAGAGGAGGCGCUGCCGGAAGUACCGACUACGCCACCCAACGAACCUCAGGACAAUUGAGAAAAUGGAGAGUCCCGUUCGGAGGACUUAAAAACACCGAACACCUUGCUGUUGACACUAGCUAACACCACUUAGAUACUAGGUUGUCAUCCCCAGCAUGGUGCCAGAGUGUACAAAGGUAUUUAUAAAUGUAAAGGCUCUCUAGAAAAUAAUCUAUUCUAUCCGCAAGCACACAGAUAAAACACCUCAUUGUAGCAUUUCACCAGGAUAAGUAUUCCAGGUAUCGUUAUUUAUAAUUUUGCUCAAGGGAUCUAAGAUGAAAUUAAAUCAAGGGGGCAAAAUCUAUCAAGGCAUAGACUAGAGAUAAACUUGCAAGAACAUGAUUACUAAUGAGAAACUCGUCACACAGUCACUUAGUUUAGCAGGAGGUAAACCAUAAAGAUAAUGAUAAUGAAUUAUAAGUUCAUGGGUAGAUGACACAGCGAUUAGAAAAUAGACUACUCCUCAUAUAUGUAGGUGAUGUCGGAUUAGCUAGAGCAUGGAUUCUAAGUUAUCUACUAACUACUAAGUCAUAAUCUACUCUAGUUAUCUACAAGAUCAUAUAUAGCAUAAAAGACUCUUCAUUCAUGUAUAAGGAACAUUGAUAAAGUAAAUCAGAGCAUCGCAUGACUUACUCCACAAUACCGGUUCUGCCUGUCCUAUCAACGGAGGGUGGACUAUAUAAGAAUCAACGAAGCUGUCACUAUCGCGAACUACCACAUGACCCGGCCAAUAGGAUACAUUUGCAGAUAAAUAACAUCUAAGCACCACGCUCACAUGUGAUCUAUCACCUAACUCCCUCGCGUCAAGAGCUAAGCGCUUUGCAAACUUAUACAUAAACUCAUUAUCAAUUAGAACUAUAUCAAAUAUAGAACUAGAGCAAACUAAGAACAUAAUAAUUAGAGACAUAAUUCAAUUAGAACAAAGAAUUAGAGAAAGAUAUGAAUAAUACCAAUCUUUAUUACCGAAGAUCCGAAUCCAGAGCGUAGUGCUCUACUUCUCUAAUUGCUAUCUAAUCAAACCUCUAAACUUGAAGGAUUAGGGAUUAGCUAAUUCUAAUUCUCUGUGGGAGAGAAGCUCUAAACCCUAACUUUGAUGGCUACCUCUGAAUAAUGAUUUCUCCUCUCCUCCUCCAGGGGCCAGGGGGUCUGGUUUUAUAGUCCCCUCAAGUGAACGUGAGUCAUUGGAUCAAACCGACAUAGAUUGUAUGGUUUAGAUUGAUCCUUUAGGUCGGUGGAGCGUAGUCCCGAAGCAGAGUCCUGAUUGGACUCCUCGCCUGGGCGGGCGCCCAAGGGGGGUGGGCGGCCGCCCUGCCCCCGAGCCCGAUUCCCUUCUCGUUUGUUCCCGUGGCUUCUGGACCCUUCUAGAUUGAGGAAAAUUGCGCGGCACGUAAUUAUCUCGUUGUAAACAUGACAUGUGGGCCUUCUCUCCAUAUUCUCUGAUAACCCUCUGCAGAAAUAGAUAAACACCAAAGCUCGUGGAAUUCUGUCAGAUAAAACCCUAAUUCUAGAUAUUUGUUUCAUAUUGAUCCUUUUUCAUGUUUAUUUGAUUAUUAAUUUUAGUACUUAAGGACCGUCAACACUUGCCAAGAGGAAAACUUGGUAGUUAUCCUUUCCCUUUCAAUUCUUUCAACUAGUUUACUUAGUUAAUUAGGUUCGUACCAUCCUAAAAAGAAAAUAAAAAUGUAAAAAACAGUAAGCCCCAUGUGAGUAGACAAGUGGCAUAAAACCCAUAAGUACAUUCACUGUGGUGGCAUAAAAAUAAAAUAAAAAUUUCUUUUCUGCUUUAUAAAAUAAAAAUAUAAAAACAGGGAGUAAUAUUUAUUGAGGAGUCCCAACAUGAUAAAGGCUAGAUAUUUAUGCUAACAUUUAAUCAGUUCCACAAAGCUUUGUUGUCUAUUUAAGCUCCACAGAAUUUAAGAAUCAAGAAGACAAGCAGACGGAGGACAUUCUGAUCGCUGUCAGAAUGCUGCUGACUUUCAAAUACACCUCUGCCACCUGCUAGCUACAUCAAGAGAAAUUACGUCAAAAUUCAGCUUGGGGGAGAGCACCCCCAUUUAUCUCGAUAAGUAUUCCUAUAUAUCUAUCUUUAUACUUAUAUUAUUUUAGAAUAUAAAUAUACAUAACUAUGAAAAACCAAAUAAGGAUUUUAUGCUUAUAUAUAUAUAUGUCUUUUGCUUAGUGUGUUUAAUAAAUAAAUAAAGUGGCUAUGCUAAUCUGUAUCUAAAUAAAAUUUAAGCAUGGAUAUGAUGAAUAGUUGCUCUGCCUAAUUUGCACAUUUUAAGUUCUCUCUCAAGUUUAGAUAUAACUGUUAUAAUUUAAAGCUUGCUCU